UAGUACAACUUGGACUGCACAAUGACUGACUCCACCUUACUUGCCCGGAACAAAGUUGGUGGCAAAUGCCCAUGCGUUGUUGUUGACAGGGUCGGAGAGGUGGUCAGCGAGGUUCUCUAAUGGACCCUUGCCGGUGACGAUGGCUUGCACAAAGAAACCGAACAUGGAAAACAUGGCGAGGCGACCGUUCUUGAUCUCCUUAACCUUGAGCUCGGCGAAUGCCUCGGGGUCGUCGGCAAGGCCGAGCGGGUCAAAACUGCCACCCGGGUAGAGCGGGUCGACGAUCUCACCGAGCGGCCCACCGGCAAUGCGGUAGCCCUCGACGGCGCCCAUGAGCACGACCUGACAAGCCCAGAUGGCAAGGAUACUUUGUGCGUGCACAAGGCUUGGGUUGCCGAGGUAGUCGAGGCCGCCCUCGCUGAAGAUCUGGGAUCCAGCCUUGAACCAAACAGCCUCGCCGAACUUCACACCGUUGCGGGCGAGCAGCUCGGGGAAGACGCAACCGAGCGCGCCAAGCAUGGCCCAGCGGCAGUGGAUCACCUCGAGUUCCCGGUUCUUGGCGAAGGUCUCGGGGUCAGCCGACAGACCAGCGGUGUCCCACCCGUAGUCGCCGGGGAACUCACCGGUCAGGUAGCUCGGGGGCUCACCAGAAAGCGGGCCAAGGUAGAGCACGCGGUCAGAGCCGUACCACGGGCUGCCGGAGGCAACCUGCUUGACCUUUGCUGCAGUCUUGCGCAUGGUAACGCGAGCCUCCCCGAAAAGAGAUGGCGAUGGUAAGCUCUUCACUGCCUUGCCGGCGAAGGCUGGGGAGGAGAGUGACAUGGUGGUUGCGGCCAUUCUGAUUGAUUAGGUUCUGUGUUGUUCUCCAAGAAUGAGGAGUGAAGGUGGAGAUGGCUUGAGAGGAUUGGAGCAGGGGGGCUUCUUAAGGCAGAGGGCGGAGAGAGGGAAUCGACCGUUGUGCUGAAGAAAUCUGUAUUUUGGAUGUCAUUGGUGCAGAGUGAGAGCCACAAGGAGAUCAGAUACACUUUUAAGAUCUUGUGGAUAUGGCUAGCUGGGAAUCUCCUUAGAGAGCAGUUAUUGGAUGACACGCUGGUAUGCACGUGAGCAUAUCAUGUAUUUUCCCCCCAAAGGACAUUAUAGGAUAUCCAUUCUUGCAACCAAGGAUUGCCACCGCAUUUGGUGAGCAAAUUUCUAUUUGACUGACUCUACAUUUUACUGACAUAAUUGGAUAUCCCAUUAUUACUUUUUGACGGCUACGGCGGGCUUACGCCGGCCUGAAUCAUUUUGAUUAUCAUAAGUUAGAGUUGUGUCGAAUAUUGUGUACAAGGUACGUUACAGUUGGACUCUGAGUUGUAUUGUAUUUAUAUAGGAUGUAGAGUCGUGUCCUAGUAGGACACUUGUAUCCUAGGCCUCUCGUAUAUAGCGGAGGUAGACACACGAUAUAACCUAUGCCAACAUAAUAUCACCGGAACGCAGGGGAAGCCGGCGGCAUGUGACGGUGUCCAGGGCGACAGGGUGCUGUAUUGUAGCGGUAUCAUGGGGAAGAGCGCCCAUAGUCAGGCCCCGGGGAUGUAGCCAUAUCGGUGAACCUCGUUAACAAAUCUCGAUAUCGUGCUCGUGUGAUUGCUUGGUUCUCGGAUGAUCGACGGACUCGAAUUUAUUUUAACAAGUGGUAUCAUGAGCUAGGUUGUCCGGAGGUUGUGGAUUGUUGAUCUAGAGAAAUUGUCGAGUCUGAGAUUGCAGCCAGAAGCGGCGUGGUUCUCGACGAGAUUGAAAAAGAUAGCAACAAUAUUUUGCCGAAGCAAUUAGGCGAGUUCGUCGUCGGUGUUGCAGAUCAGCGGAUGUUGGUCCUUGGAAUCUUUGUGGAGCAAUCAAGAGGCAGUAGCACAGGUUUGGCAUAUUGAAUCGGUACGCAGGCGGUGAAUCCAACAGUUUGAUCUCGGUGAGUUGACUUGAGGCGCGUGGGCGUAUGCCACCAGCAGGGAGACGUGCGGCGAGAGUAUUUAGCAAAAAACUACUACAAUUUGUGGAACCGUGCCUACAAACUACCAUUUUACAAAUUUGUGCCGAAAACUACCAUUUUCGUACUAAUCCUUGACUAAAAACUACCAAGUCUGAAAAGAGCCCGAUUUGACUCUUUUAAGCGCGUUUCUGCCAGAGUUGGCCCACACAUAAGCAGGCUAAAAAAGCAAUCGGGUCCUUAGUUUUUUUUUCAAAAAAGCGAUCCACUCCUUGGCGAGGCCCAGCACGCUCGCGGCGACGGCGGCGGCGGCGGCGGCUGCUGCGCACGCACGCAAGCCAGCCGGCCAGCAAGCGGCGAGUGUCGUGGCGGUGGUGCUCGUUCUCCUCUACUUCUCCCCGCUGCAGCAGCUCGCUGAGCAGCAGCAGCCCAGCCCCUCUUCUUCUUCUCCACUGUCUCCUCUCCGUCUCCUUCUCCUCUGCCUCCUCUCCUUCUCUUGCAGCAGCAGCACGGGCACAAGCUCCUCCUCUCGCGCAGCCCCGCCGCCCUGCCCAGCCGCACCUCGUCGCAGCCCCACUGCCGCACGCGCACACGCAGCCGUGCGCACAGCCCUUGCGCAACCGCUCGAGCAGCUGCCCCGCCGGCUCGCCGCAGCAGCGCGUGCAGGAUCCUCCUCUUGCCUGACGCAGCCGGGCCCCAUGGCACGCGCAGCUCGCAGGGCCGCCGUGAGCUCGUCACGCCGCCGCCGUCACGCAUCCCAGUGCCUCCUCGCACGCGUGCACGCAGCCGCCCGCCCCCUCCAGUCGCUGGAGGACUGGAUUGCUUUUUAAAAAAAACUAGGGACCCGAUUGCUGUUUUAGCCUGCUUAUGUGUGGGCCAACUCUGUCAGAAACGCGCUUAAAAGAGACAAAUCGGGCUCUUUUUAGACUUGAUAGUUUUUUGCCACGGUUUAAGAAAAAAGCGGUAGUUUUUCGCACAAAAUCGUAAAAUGGUAGUUUUUCGUCACGGUUUCGUGAAUUGUGGUAGUUUUUGGUUAAAUACUCCGUGCGGCGAUCGAUGACCCGAUCGGGCGAGCGUACUGGCGGCGGCCUAGCGUACAAGCGUACCUCUAUACUGAUGGGAUCGUUGGCCGUUUGCUGGCCCAUGGCCGGUGUGGAGGCUGCUAGGGAGGCUGCGUGCGUACAGGUACUACGUGAGAUUUGUUUUGGAAAAAAAGAGGACCGGGUCCUCGUGUACGACACGGAAAGAGGCAGCAGCAGAACGAAUCGGCAAAGGAAAUCUAUUGAUACAUGUUUCACGUCCAUUGGAAAUAGCAAGGCUGUGGCAAGGCAAAAGCUAGCACCGUGAGUUGAGCCUAGUAGUUUUUACACGCGAGGACCGGAAUGUUUUCUGGUUGGAACUGCUGUAGUACGUGGAGGCUGUUCGUGUACUUGAGGCAUCACGUGGAAAGCUUGAAUAAUUUUUCACAGGGUCAGUCAUAUGAAGAACCAUGGCGCUAACGGGUAUCAGGUUUAAGGUGAAGAAAUUUACGAAAUUGAAAACCUUGGAUUAUGACAGACAAGGGUGAAAGUUUUAAUGGCACAACAGUGAUGCUUGAAGGCGUUGCAGGAAGUCAGGUCAGCUAAGAUGGAAUUAUUAUGUGUUGGAUGGAAAUUUGCGGAAGACGAUUUGGGAGCCUCGAGCGUGUCAUACAGAUGAACGAGUUCGGCUGGGUCGGACUAGGCAGUCUGACGGAUCGACGCAAGUCGGUUGGUACAGAAGACGGUGGUGGAUCGGCGACGACGACAUAGGAACGUGAUGCUGAUGGUGACCGACUUCUGGGCGUGAAAACACGUGGCGCAGGCCCUGAAGGCUUGUGUGGCUUCGACAAGACUAUGGUGCGGGUUUGAUUCAAGGUGAUGUACACACGGAGCUUGAAGUCGACGGGGCGCAAGGGUGGACUGAUCAUCUACCAAGGAGUCAUGUUGAAGGUGGAGUUGGAGUCUGUAAGACUUCACUUGGUGCUGGAUUGAGGGGCUACGGUGUAAGGAUCCAGGGAAUCGAAGCCUAUUCAGCAGGAAAAUCGAGUGACACACAAUUCGGACUGGAGCCCAGUGGUCUGAUGGAAGCGUGAAACUCAUCAUCGGUCGGUGAUGAUCGGUGGUACUCUGUAGUGGGGGUUGAGUGGUGUGGGUCCGCGGCCCUUGAGACUCGACCGGGACAGCGGAGGCUUGACGCGGUAAUAGCGGCAAGGCGUACGGUACUCACGAGACAUGGAGAUGGGCCAGGGCUCUGGUGGUCAUACAUGUGGUGAGACAACUGCGAAUUUGACUCAGGGUGACUAUAAGCAAUGGUGAAAUUCCUUCAAGUUUCAGACAGGCGGUCAAGAAAGGAGCGGUGAUGUUGAGUUUAGGUAAUUCUUAUGUGUGACACCCAAUAUGUGAGUUGUUCACUUUCACGCAUGUCAGUGAUCGGUGUGUGAUGGCAUUGGACGGGUACUCUGAAAGUUGGGAGCACAAGCUAGAGUAACAAGGAACUUAGUUUUGCUCGAGUGUUGACCGUGGUCAAGAAAAGAAGGGACUACAAGUUGUAGGUGGAGUUAUAUGUAGUCUUUGGAGUAGCAGUGGAACUCAUGGGAUAAGCUCAAGUCCAAUGUACAUGGAAGUUUGACGCACUGAAGAAUUCAAGGUGGUGGAGAAUAUUCGCCAAGGUGGAGUUUGUUAGAGUUGUGUCGAAUAUUGUGUACAAAGUAAGUUACAGUUGGACUAUGAGUUGUAUUGUGUUUAUAUAGGAUGCGGAGUCGUGUCCUAGUAGGACACUUGUAUCCUAGGCCUCUCGUAUAUAGCGGGGUAGACACACGAUGUAACAUAUGCCAACAUAUUAGCACCGGAACGCAGGGGAAGCCGGCGGCAUGUGCCAGUGUCCAGGGCGACCGGGUGUGGUAUUGUAGCGGUAUCAUGGGGAAGAGCGCCCAUAGUCAGGCCCCGAGGAUGUAGCCAUAUCGUUGAACCUCGUUAACAAAUCUCGGUACCGUGCUCGUGUGAUUGCUUGGUCUUCGAAUGAUCGACGGAGUGCCUCGGAUUUAUUCUAACAUAAGUAAGAUUAAGAUACAACACAAAGGCUACACAACUGCAACACCCAACACACACGAGAAGGAUCGAGGUACAAUAGAGUAGAACCAGAAAAUGAGUUACGACAAGCAGCCAAAACCAAGAACUUAGCACCCAUCACCACUAGGCAGACCAAGAAGAGCGGAAACUAGCAUUGUUGGAUCAGUCGAAAGGAGAAUCAACACCGAGAAGACCAAGAGAAGAAGCCACCUGCUACCCUGCGAACACUCAACACUUUGAAGAACUAGGAGAGGCGCAACCACCGUCGAAGGGCUUCCCAAUGCCUAGCCACGACGCGACAGAGAGAGCCACAGACCGUGACGAAGGGCAAUGUUCCGCCGAGACAGCCCCGCACCUCCUCUGGGCCACACCACGGCCACCAUCACAAAUAGAGGGAACCAGAGCACUAUGCGAGGCAACCAAACCUCAAGAGUCGUCGAAGGGCACCAAAACAUGAGACCUCACCGCCGCCACAAGCCCCCAAGAGAGAGAUCGACCAAUAGCACAGGGAUGACCAAGGCAAAGAACGCCGCCACAAUUCACUUCCGGAACCACCACCAAACAAUCCAUCAGCCCAACCACACACCAACAGAUCAACCGCACUCGAGCCGAGACGACAAACGAACCAUAGCAGCUCAAUGGCUCCAAAGACAACGCCCCCAAGGGGGUAACGAUGUCAAAGACCUCGUCGAUGUCCGAUCCACAGAUGGAUCUAGGCUUUCGCCUGGAGCACAUUAGAGGACACAAGGCAGGAGCUUGACAAUGACGCCUCCAGGGAGGAAAACGGCGCCGGAAGGCGUCGCCAUCAUCGAUGCUGGCAAGGCCGAAACAAGGCUUUCGCCUCAAGCAUCACAGGCCUGACCUCUCCGCAUACAUUGGUCGUUGUGUCCAGCAAGCAUAGGAGCGCGAGACCUCCCAACAUCCAGCAACUCCGCGGUGAGCGUCCUCACCGUUGACUGCGGGGUGCACCUCCAUUGACACAGCUGCUCACCUCGAGCACCGUCGCCGACAGGAGGGGAUGUCGAGCCUGGCCGCCACAACUUCCCCACCACCAACUUCCCCCAGAUCCAUCUCCUCAGCCUAACUCGCCGGACUGGGAACUAGCCCACAUGAACCAGAGCCAACGAGCCGAGCACGUCCGAUGCUCACCCUGGACAGCACCACCGGAGGUUGCCAGCCCGGCACCGCGCCCCUGCAGCCGGAAAGAGCCCCGGGUGCCGUCCCAGCCCCCCACCUAAGCGCGUAGGGAGCAUGCCAGCCAGAUCUGGUCCUCCCAGCCGCCCAUACGCGCCCGCUGUUGCACGCCCUCCACCACGAGACACGCGAAGCUGCCAGAGACGAGCAGAAUGCCGACGCCUAGAGAAGCCGCCGCCAGGAUGGGAAGACCGCGCCCCGCCCCCAUAGGUGGCGAUCCGCCUGGGUCGCAACGCAAUCGAGUGUAGAACGACCGCCCCACCGCCACCUUCACUGGCCACGCAUGGGCUUCGCCGGCGUCCCCUCCGGCGGCGGCGAUGCGGGGGAAGGAGGAGCGGUAGGGCCUGGCAACGGCGCGACUAGGGUUUCCCCCGCCUCACCCUAUCCCAUUAUGCUUCUGAUCUUAUCUGAAAUAAAGACGGACACAUGCUCAUGCAGGUGUGUCCAUGCUACUGCUAGCAGCAUCGAUCCAGAGCAUACGGCAAAUACUACCUCCGUCCUGAUUUAUUGGCCCCCCUUUAUAAUUUGUGCUAGAUUUUGAUCAAAGAUUUAACUAAUAAAAUGUUAGUGCAUGCCAACAAAAAUUACAUCGUUGGAUUUGUAUUUGAAUAUAGUUUUCAAUUAUAUAAUUUUUUGUGAUAUGCAUAAAUAUUUUGUUAGUUAAAUUUAUGGUCAAAAUUUAGCACAGAUUAUGAUGGGGCCAAUAAACCAGGACAUGCGUAGUACAAGCUAGCAGCUAGAAAAAACAUACCAUGAUCGUCGCACAAGACCAUACCUAUUGCAAAGAAGGACCAAUAAAAUGGUACUCUCUCGAUUCCAUAUUAGUUGUCUCUUAAAUAGUACCGAAAUAUGUUAAGAUACAUAUGUUUAAGCGACAACUCAUAUGUAACUAUCAAGAACAAUUAUACAAAAGGCAUAUUGUUUCAAACGUCCUUCCUAUAAGGCUUUUAUUACCAUAGUCAUAAUGUGCAUAAUAUGUUACCAAUGGAAUUUUUUCUUUUUGAUACCACGAAAACUCAUUUUCAUAAAACAUAAAGUUCUUAAUAAUAUGAUUUUAAAAUUAGAUUAUUCUAAUCUUAAAUAUAAUUAUCCAUACUAAAAAUAUUGUCCACACACUUGCGCUCUUUUUUUCUGAAAGAGUUGAGGUCUCUCUGGCCUUCUUUUUCCUUGCUCCCAGAUUCAGAAACAAAGCAGACCAUCACGAUAGUACUCGCUCUGUUCGAAAUUACUUGUAACAAAAAUGGAUGUAUCUACAACUAAAAUACAUCUAGAUACAUUUAUUUCUUCGACGAGUAAUUCCGAACGAAGGGAGUAGUAGACUGAUUGUCCAGGUGUCUGGUGAUAAAACGGCACGUUGGGUUUGUUUCUUCGAAAGAGAAAGGCAAUGCCUCCGGGCUCAGCUCAGAUAACUGCCGUUUGUUGUCUUCUGGACAAUUGCUACUUUGUUCAUCCUCCAAGAUCAAAGAUUAUUGCUCCCUUAACUGUUCAUACAUUCAGCUAUCAGAUAGUACAUGCUCUUUAAAAUGUGGUGUCGUCCUAAUAAAUCGAUGAAGUUAUCUGUUUCUGAAGGUUUGGCUUCAGACCUUUUGCUAUUUUUCCACAUUGCUAGAUCAAUACUUGUGUUGAAUUUUUUCAAACCAUAAAAUAAAAUUUCAGAGAGAUCUCAAACAGACCGACGCACUCCUGUGAAGCAUGCAUAACUCAAAUUUCUAUCUUGCUUUCAGGCCAGUAACCACUCAUCAUUUUUGUUGCCCGGUAUUUCGACCGGAAGGCCUGAACAACCCCUCAACCAUGUACCACUGUCUUGUUUGAUGCAGCCCGGCAAAUUUGCUAAUGUAUAUGAUGCAUAAGUUGCCGUUGCCAGAGCACAACACGUGCUGCUGUUACGCAAAUGCGAAGCCAACGUAUUCGUUCAGAUGAUCAUGUCAAAUGGGUGAGAUCGAAGGUGGGAAAACAUUAGCUUUUGCACAAAAACCUCAUAAUUUUUUUCCAAACAAUGAAUCCUCGUAAUUUACAUCAUGGUAGUACAAUUCAGACCGCACAACGGCAUACUUCACCGCAAGCGUGUGCACACACACAUACACACCUUACUUGCCGGGAACAAAGUUGGUGGCGAAUGCCCAUGCGUUGUUGUUGACGGGGUCGGAGAGGUGGUCAGCGAGGUUCUCUAGUGGACCCUUGCCGGUGACGAUGGCUUGCACAAAGAAACCGAACAUGGAAAACAUAGCGAGGCGACCGUUCUUGAUCUCCUUAACCUUGAGCUCGGCGAAUGCCUCAGGGUCGUCGGCAAGGCCGAGCGGAUCAAAGCUGCCGCCCGGGUAGAGCGGGUCAACGAUCUCACCGAGCGGUCCACCGGCAAUGCGGUAGCCCUCAACGGCGCCCAUGAGCACGACCUGACAAGCCCAGAUGGCAAGGAUACUUUGUGCGUGCACAAGGCUUGGGUUGCCGAGGUAGUCGAGGCCGCCCUCGCUGAAGAUCUGGGAUCCAGCCUUGAACCAAACAGCCUCGCCGAACUUCACACCGUUGCGGGCGAGCAGCUCGGGGAAGACGCAACCGAGCGCGCCAAGCAUGGCCCAACGGCAGUGGAUCACCUCCAGCUCGCGGUUCUUGGCGAAGGUCUCGGGGUCAGCCGACAGACCAGCGGUGUCCCACCCGUAGUCGCCGGGGAACUCACCGGUCAGGUAGCUCGGGGGCUCACCAGAAAGCGGGCCAAGAUAGAGCACGCGGUCAGAGCCGUACCACGGGCUGCCGGAGGCAACCUGCUUGACCUUUGCUGCAGUCUUGCGCAUGGUAACGCGAGCCUCCCCGAAAAGAGAUGGCGAUGGUAAGCUCUUCACUGCCUUGCCGGCGAAGGCUGGGGAGGAGAGUGACAUGGUGGUUGCGGCCAUUCUGAUUGAUUAGGUUCUGUGUUGUUCUCCAAGAAUGAGGAGUGAAGGUGGAGAUGGCUUGAGAGGAUUGGAGCAGGGGGGCUUCUUAAGGCAGAGGGCGGAGAGAGGGAAUCGACCGUUGUGCUGAAGAAAUCUGUAUUUUGGAUGUCAUUGGUGCAGAGUGAGAGCCACAAGGAGAUCAGAUACACUUUUAAGAUCUUGUGGAUAUGGCUAGCUGGGAAUCUCCUUAGAGAGCAGUUAUUGGAUGACACGCUGGUAUGCACGUGAGCAUAUCAUGUAUUUUCCCCCCAAAGGACAUUAUAGGAUAUCCAUUCUUGCAACCAAGGAUUGCCACCGCAUUUGGUGAGCAAAUUUCUAUUUGACUGACUCUACAUUUUACUGACAUAAUUGGAUAUCCCAUUAUUACUUUUUGACGGCUACGGCGGGCUUACGCCGGCCUGAAUCAUUUUGAUUAUCAUAAGUUAGAGUUGUGUCGAAUAUUGUGUACAAGGUACGUUACAGUUGGACUCUGAGUUGUAUUGUAUUUAUAUAGGAUGUAGAGUCGUGUCCUAGUAGGACACUUGUAUCCUAGGCCUCUCGUAUAUAGCGGAGGUAGACACACGAUAUAACCUAUGCCAACAUAAUAUCACCGGAACGCAGGGGAAGCCGGCGGCAUGUGACGGUGUUCAGGGCGACCGGGUGCUGUAUUGUAGCGGUAUCAUGGGGAAGAGCGCCCAUAGUCAGGCCCCGGGGAUGUAGCCAUAUCGGUGAACCUCGUUAACAAAUCUCGGUAUCGUGCUCAUGUGAUUGCUUGGUCCUCGGAUGAUCGACGGACUCGAAUUUAUUUUAACAAGUGGUAUCAUGAGCUACGUUGUCCGGAGGUUGUGGAUUGUUGAUCUAGAGAAAUUAUCGAGUCUGAGAUUGCAGCCAGAAGCGGCGUGGUUCUCGACGAGAUUGAAAAAGAUAGCGACAAUAUUUUGCCGAAGCAAUUAGGCGAGUUCGUCGUCGGUGUUGCAGAUCAGCGGAUGUUGGUCCUUGGAAUCUUUGUGGAGCAAUCAAGAGGCAGUAGCACAGGUUUGGCAUAUCGAAUCGGUACGCAGGCGGUGAAUCUUGAUCUCGGCGAGUUGACUUGAGGCGCGUGGGCGUAUGCCACCAGCAGGGAGACGUGCGGCGAGAGUAUUUAGCAAAAACUAUCAUAAUUCGUGGAACCGUGCCUACAAACUACCACUUUACAAAUUUGUGCCGAAAACUACCAUUUUCAAACUAAUCCUUGACUAAAAACUACCAAGUCUGAAAAGAGCCCGAUUUGGCUCUUUUAAGCGCGUUUCUGCCAGAGUUGGCCCACACAUAAGGAGGCUAAAAAAACAAUCGGGUCCUUAGUUUUUUUUUUCAAAAAAGCGAUCCACUUCUUGGCGAGGCCCAGCACGCUCGCGGCGGCGGCCGCGGCUGCUGCGCACGCACGCAAGCUAGCCGGCCAGCAAACGGCGAGCGUCGUGGCGGUGGUGCUUGUGCUCCUCUACUUCUCCUCGCUCCAGCAGCUCGCUGAGCAGCAGCAACCCAGCCCCUCUUCUCCUUCUCCACUGUCUCCUCUCCAUCUCCUUCUCCUCUGCCUCCUCUCCUUCUCUUGCAGCAGCAGCACGGGCACAAGCUCCUCCUCUCGCGCAGCCCCGCCGCACUGCACAGCCGCACCUCGUCGCAGCCCCACUGCCGCACGCGCACACGCAGCCGUGCGCACAGCCCUUGCGCAACCGCUCGAGCAGCCGCCCCGCCGGCUCGCCGCAGCAGCGCGUGCAGGAUCCUCCCCUUGUCUGACGCAGCCGGGCCCCAUGGCACGCGCAGCUCGCAGGGCCGCCGCGAGCUCGCCACGCCGCCGCCGUCGCGCAUCCCAGUGCCUCCUCGCACGCGUGCACGCAGCCGCCCGCCCCCUCCAGUCGCUGGAGGACUGGAUUGCUUUUUUUUAAAAAAACUAGGGACCCGAUUGCUUUUUUAGCCUGCUUAUGUGUGAGCCAACUCUGUCAGAAACGCGCUUAAAAGAGACAAAUCGGACUGUUUUCAGACUUGGUAGUUUUUUGCCACGGUUUAGAAAAAAAGCGGUAGUUUUUUGCACAAAAUCGUAAAGUGGUAGUUUUUUGUUAUGGUUCCAUGAAUUUUGGUAGUUUUUGGUUAAAUACUCCGUGCGGCGAUCGAUGACCCGAUCGGGCGAGCGUACUGGCGGCGGCCUAGCGUACAAGCGUACCUCUAUACUGAUGGGAUCGUUGGCCGUUUGCUGGCCCAUGGCCGGUGUGGAGGCUGCUAGGGAGGCUGCGUGCGUACAGGUACUACGUGAGAUUUGUUUUGGAAAAAAAGAAGACCGGGUCCUCGUGUACGACACGGAAAGAGGCAGCAGCAGAACGAAUCGGCAAAGGAAAUCUAUUGAUACAUGUUUCACGUCCAUUGGAAAUAGCAAGGCUGUGGCAAGGCAAAAGCUAGCACCGUGAGUUGAGCCUAGUAGCUUUUACACGCGAGGACCAGAAUGUUUUCUGGUUGGAACUGCUGUAGUACGCGGAGGCUGUUCGUCUACUUGGGGCAUCACGUGGAAAGCUUGAAUAAUUUUUCACAAGGUCAGUCAUAUGAAGAACCAUGGCGCCAACGGGUAUCAGGUUUAAGGUGAAGAAAUUUACAAAAUUGAAAACCUUGGGUUAUGACAGACAAGGGUGAAAGUUUUGAUGGCACAACAGUGAUGCUUGAAGGCGUUGCAGGAAGUCAGGUCAGCUAAGAUGGAAUUAUUAUGUGUUGGAUGGAAAUUUGCGGAAGACGAUUUGGGAGCCUCGAGCGUGUCAUACAGACGAACGAGUUCGGCUGGGUCGGACUAGGCAGUCUGAGGGAUCGACGCAAGUCGGUUGGUACAGAAGACGGUGGUGGAUCGGCGACGACGACAUAGGAACGUGAUGCUGAUGGUGACCGACUUCUGGACGUGGAAACACGUGGCGCAGGCCCUGAGGGCUUGUGUGGCUUCGACAAGACUAUGGUGCGGGUUUGAUUCAAGGUGAUGUACACACGGAGCUUGAAGUCGACGGGGCGCAAGGGUGGACUGAUCAUCUACCAUGGAGUCAUGUUGAAGGUGGAGUUGGAGUCUGUAAGACUUCACUUGGUGCUGGAUUGAGGGGCUACGGUGUAAGGAUCCAGGGAAUCGAAGCCUAUUCAGCAGGAAAAUCGAGUGACACACAAUUCGGACUGGAGCCCAGUGGUCUGAUGGAAGCGUGAAACUCAUCAUCGGUCGGUGAUGAUCGGUGGUACUCUGUAGUGGGGGUUGAGUGGUGUGGGUCCGCGGCCCUUGAGACUCGACCGGGACAGCGGAGGCUCGACGCGGCAAUAGCGGCAAGGCGUACGGUACUCACGGGACAUGGAGAUGGGCCAGGGCUCUGGUGGUCAUACAUGUGGUGAGACAACUGCGAAUUUGACUCAGGGUGACUAUAAGCAAUGGUGAAAUUCCUUCAAGUUUCAGACAGGCGGUCAAGAAAAGAGCGGUGAUGUUGAGUUCAGGUAAUUCUUAUGUGUGACACCCAAUAUGUGAGUUGUUCACUUUCACGCAUGUCAGUGAUCGGUGUGUGAUGGCAUUGGACGGGUACUCUGAAAGUUGGGAGCACAAGCUAGAGUAACAAGGAACUUAGUUUUGCUCGAGUGUUGACCGUGGUCAAGAAAAGAAGGGACUACAAGUUGUAGGUGGAGUUAUAUGUAGUCUUUGCAGUAGCAGCGAAACUCAUGGGAUAAGCUCAAGUCCAAUGUACAUGGAAGUUUGACGCACUGAAGAAUUCAAGGUGGUGGAGAAUAUUCGCCAAGGUGGAGUUUGUUAGAGUUGUGUCGAAUAUUGUGUACAAAGUAAGUUACAGUUGGACUAUGAGUUGUAUUGUGUUUAUAUAGGAUGCAGAGUCGUGUCCUAGUAGGACACUUGUAUCCUAGGCCUCUCAUAUAUAGUGGGGUAGACACACGAUGUAACAUAUGCCAACAUAAUAGCACCGGAACGCAGGGGAAGCCGGCGGCAUGUGCUGGUGUCCAGGGCGACCGGGUGUGGUAUUGUAGCGGUAUCAUGGGGAAGAGCGCCCAUAGUCAGGCCCCGGGGAUGUAGCUAUAUCGUUGAACCUCGUUAACAAAUCUCGGUAUCGUGCUCGUGUGAUUGCUUGGUCUUCGGACGAUCGACGGAGUGCCUCGGAUUUAUUCUAACGUAAGUAAGAUUAAGAUACAACACAAAGGCUACACAACUGCAGCACCCAACACACACGAGAAGGACCGAGGUACAACAGAGAAGAACCAGAAAAUGAGUUACGACAAGUAGCCGAAACCAAGAACUUAGCACCCAUCACCACUAGGCAGACCAAGAAGAGCGGAAACUAGCAUUGUUGGAUCAGUCGAAAGGAGAAUCAACACCGAGAAGACCAAGAGAAGAAGCCGCCUGCUACCCUGCGAACACUCAACACUUUGAAGAACUAGGAGAGUCGCAACAACCGUCGAAGGGCUUCCCAAUGCCUAGCCACGACGCGACAGAGAGAGCCACAGACCGUGACGAAGGGCAAUGUUCCGCCGAGACAGCCCCGCACCUCCUCUGGGCCACACCACGGCCACCAUCACAAAUAGAGGGAACCAGAGCACUAUGCGAGGCAACCAAACCUCAAGAGUCGUCGAAGGGCACCAAAACAUGAGACCUCACCGCCGCCACAAGCCCCCAAGAGAGAGAUCGACCAAUAGCACAGGGAUGACCAAGGCAAAGAACGCCGCCACAAUUCACUUCUGCAACCACCACCAAACAAUCCAUCAGCCCAACCACACACCAACAGACCAACCGCACUCGAGCCGAGACGACAAACGAACCAUAGCAGCUCAAUGGCUCCAAAGACAACGCCCCCAAGGGGGUAACGAUGUCAAAGACCUCGUCGAUGUCCGAUCCACAGAUGGAUCUAGGCUUUCGCCCGGAGCACAUUAGAGGACACAAGGAAGGAGCUUGACAAUGACGCCUCCAGGGAGGAAAACGGCGCCGGAAGGCGUCGCCAUCAUCGAUGCUGGCAAGGCCGAAACAAGGCUUUCGCCUCAAGCAUCACAGGCCUGACCUCUCCGCAUACAUUGGUCGUUGUGUCCGGCAAGCAUAGGAGCGCAAGACCUCCCAACAUCCAGCAACUCCGCGGCGAGCGUCCUCACCGUUGACUGCGGGGUGCACCUCCAUUGACACAGCUGCUCACCUCGAGCACCGUCGCCGACGGGAGGGGAUGUCGAGCCUGGCCGCCACAACUUCCCCACCACCAACUUCCCCCAGAUCCACCUCCUCAGCCUAACUCGCCGGACUGGGAACCAGCCCACAUGAACCAGAGCCAACGAGCCGAGCACCUCCGAUGCUCACCCUGGACAGCACCACCGGAGGUCGCCAGCCCGGCACCGCGCCCCUGCAGCCGGAAAGAGCCUCGGGUGCCGUCCCAGCCCCCCACCUGAGCGCGUAGGGAGCAUGCCAGCCAGAUCUGGUCCUCCCAGCCGCCCAUACGCGCCCGCUGUUGCACGCCCUCCACCACGAGACACGCGAAGCUGCCAGAGACGAGCAGAAUGCCGACGCCUAGAGAAGUCGCCGCCAGGAUGGGAAGACCGCGCCCCGCCCCCAUAGGUGGCGAUCCGCCUGGGUCGCAACGCAAUCGAGUGUAGAACGACCGCCCUGCCGCCACCUUCACUGGCCACGCAUGGGCUUCGCCCGCGUCCCCUCCGGCGGCGGCGAUGCGGGGGAAGGAGGAGCGGUAGGGCCUGGCAACGGCGCGACUAGGGUUUCCCCCGCCUCACCCUAUCCCAUUAUGCUUCUGAUCUUAUCUGAAAUAAAGACGGACACAUGCUCAUGCAGGUGUGUCCAUGCUACUGCUAGCAGCAUCGAUCCAGAGCAUACGGCAAAUACUACCUCCGUCCUGAUUUAUUGACCCCCCUUUAUAAUUUGUGCUAGAUUUUGAUCAAAGAUUUAGCUAAUAAAAUGUUAGUGCAUGUCAACAAAAAUUACAUCGUUGGAUUUGUAUUUGAACAUAGUUUUCAGUUAUAUAAUUUUUUGUGAUAUGCAUAAAUAUUUUGUUAGUUAAAUUUAUGGUUAAAAUUUAGCACAGAUUAUGACGGGGGCCAAUAAACCAGGACAUGCGUAGUACAAGCUAGCAGCUAGAAAAAACAUACCAUGAUCGUCGCACAAGACCAUACCUAUUGCAAAGAAGGACCAAUAAAAUGGUACUCUCUCGAUCCCAUAUUAGUUGUCUCUUAAAUAGUACCGAAAUAUGUUAAGAUACAUAUGUUUAAGCGACAACUCAUAUGUAACUAUCAAGAACAAUUAUACAAAAGGCAUAUUGUUUCAAACGUCCUUCCUAUAAGGCUCUUAUUACCAUAGUCAUAAUGUGCAUAAUAUGUUACCAAUGGAAUUUUUUCUUUUUGAUACCACGAAAACUCAUUUUCAUAAAACAUAAAGUUCUUAAUAAUAUGAUUUUAAAAUUAGAUUAUUCUAAUCUUAAAUAUAAUUAUCCAUACUAAAAAUAUUGUCCACACACUUGCGCUCUUUUUUUCUGGAAGAGUUGAGGUCUCUCUGGCCUUCUUUUUCCUUGCUCCCAGAUUCAGAAACAAAGCAGACCAUCAUGAUAGUACUCGCUCCGUUCGAAAUUACUUGUAACAAAAAUGGAUGUAUCUACAACUAAAAUACAUCUAGAUACAUUCAUUUCUUCGACGAGUAAUUCCGAACGAAGGGAGUAGUAGACUGAUUGUCCAGGUGUCUGGUGAUAAAACGGCACGUUGGGUUUGUUUCUUCGAAAGAGAAAGGCAAUGCCUCCGGGCUCAGCUCAGAUAACUGCCGUUUGUUGUCUUCUGGACAAUUGCUACUUUGUUCAUCCUCCAAGAUCAAAGAUUAUUGCUCCCUUAACUGUUCAUACAUUCAGCUAUCAGAUAGUACAUGCUCUUUAAAAUGUGGUGUCGUCCUAAUAAAUCGAUGAAGUUAUCUGUUUCUGAAGGUUUGGCUUCAGACCUUUUGCUAUUUUUCCACAUUGCUAGAUCAAUACUUGUGUUGAAUUUUUUCAAACCAUAAAAUAAAAUUUUAGAGAGAUCUCAAACAGACCGACGCACUCCUGUGAAGCAUGCAUAACUCAAAUUUCUAUCUUGCUUUCAGGCCAGUAACCACUCAUCAUUUUUGUUGCCCGGUAUUUCGACCGGAAGGCCUGAACAACCCCUCAACCAUGUACCACUGUCUUGUUUGAUGCAGCCCGGCAAAUUUGCUAAUGUAUAUGAUGCAUAAGUUGCCGUUGCCAGAGCACAACACGUGCUGCUGUUACGCAAAUGCGAAGCCAACGUAUUCGUUCAGAUGAUCAUGUCAAAUGGGUGAGAUCGAAGGUGGGAAAACAUUAGCUUUUGCACAAAAACCUCAUAAUUUUUUUCCAAACAAUCGAAUCCUCGUAAUUUACAUCAUGGUAGUACAAUUCAGACCGCACAACGGCAUACUUCACCGCAAGCGUGUGCACACACACAUACACACCUUACUUGCCGGGAACAAAGUUGGUGGCGAAUGCCCAUGCGUUGUUGUUGACGGGGUCGGAGAGGUGGUCAGCGAGGUUCUCUAGUGGACCCUUGCCGGUGACGAUGGCUUGCACAAAGAAACCGAACAUGGAAAACAUAGCGAGGCGACCGUUCUUGAUCUCCUUAACCUUGAGCUCGGUGAAUGCCUCAGGGUCGUCGGCAAGGCCGAGCGGAUCAAAGCUGCCGCCCGGGUAGAGCGGGUCAACGAUCUCACCGAGCGGUCCACCGGCAAUGCGGUAGCCCUCAACGGCGCCCAUGAGCACGACCUGACAAGCCCAGAUGGCAAGGAUACUUUGUGCGUGCACAAGGCUUGGGUUGCCCAGGUAGUCGAGGCCGCCCUCGCUGAAGAUCUGGGAUCCAGCCUUGAACCAAACAGCCUCGCCGAACUUCACACCAUUGCGGGCGAGAAGCUCGGGGAAGACGCAACCGAGCGCGCCAAGCAUGGCCCAACGGCAGUGGAUCACCUCCAGCUCGCGGUUCUUGGCGAAGGUCUCGGGGUCAGCCGACAGCCCAGCGGUGUCCCACCCAUAGUCGCCGGGGAAUUCACCGGUCAGAUAGCUCGGGGGCUCACCAGAAAGCGGGCCGAGGUAGAGCACGCGAUCAGAGCCGUACCACGGGCUGCCGGAGGCAACCUGCUUGGCCUUUGCCGCCGUCUUGCGCAUGGUGACGCGAGCCUCCCCGAAAAGAGAUGAUGAUGGCAAGUUCUUUACUGCCUUGCCGGCGAAGGCUGGGGAAGAGAGUGACAUGGUGGUUGCGGCCAUUCUGAUUGACUAGGUUCUGUGUUGUUCUCCAAGAAUGAGGAGUGGGUGUGGAGAUGGCUUAAGAGGAUUGGAGCAGGGGGCUUCUUAAGGCAGAGGACGGACAGAGGGAAUCGACCGUUUUAGGCUGAAAGGACAGGUACAGAGCAAGAAAUCUGUAUCUUGGAUGUCAUUGGUGCAGAGUGAGAGCCACAAGGAGAUCAGAUAUACUUGUGGAUUUGGGUAGCUGGGAAUCUCCUUAGAGAACAGUGAUUGGAUGAGAUGCUGGUAUGCACGUGAGCAUGCCAUGUAUUUUCCCCCAAAAGGACAUUAUAGGAUAUCCAUUCUUGCCACCGCAUUUGUUGAGCGAAUUUCUAUUUGACUGAUUACAUUUUACUGACAUAAUUGGAUAUCCCAUUAUCCUUCUGAUGUUAUCAGAAAUAAAAACGGAGACGUGCCCAUGCAUGUGCGUCCAUGCUACUGCUAGCAGCAUCAAUCCAGAGCAUACGGCAAAUAGCUAGCAGCGGGAAGAAACAUACCAUGAUCAUCGCACAUGACCAUAGCUAUUGCAAAGAUGGACUGAUAAAAUGGUAACUAUCAUGAACAAUUAUACAAAAAGGCAUAUGUCUCAACUUUUCUUACCUAUUAGUUUUCUUUUACCUUAGUCAUAAUGUGCAUAAGAUGUCCACGGAAACUUAUUUCAUAAAACAUAAAGUUCUUAAUAGUAUGAUUUUAAAAUUGGAUUAUUUCAACCUUAAAUAUAAUUAUCCAUACUAAAAAUUGUGUGUCUAGAACUCGGUCGAAGUCUCAGUCGAGUUACAUUUGCGUAGUUGUGGUGUUACGAACGGCACAGCUGGAUGCUGCAAACAGCGAUGAAAAUGUUGCGACGGCACUGCAAGCAACGACAACAUAUGCUACAAGGGUACUAAAAAUGUUGUCCAUGCACUUGCACGUGCCACACAUUUGAUCUCUCUUUUUUCCUAAAAGAGUCAAGGUCUCUCUGGACUCCUCUUUUGCCUCGCUCCCAGAUUUAGAAACAAAGCAUUCAAGUUUCGACCUAGACCAGCACCAUAAUAGUUCACUCAUUGUCCAAGUGUCCAAUGAUGAAUUUAUUAUACGGCUCGAAUAGUUGGGUUUCUUUUCUUGAAAGAAAAAGGUAAUGCCUCCAGGCUCGGUUUAGAUAACUGCCGUUUGUUGUGAACCAAGAACCAGAUAUGUGAAGCUGAACGUCGACGGUAGUUUCAAUGAGGAUAGACUACAGGGUUCAGUUGGUGGAGUUAUCACAGACAGUUCGGGUGCUUUUGUAGCAGCGGCGGACGAGAAAUUGGAUGUCUGUUUCGAUGCUUUUACAGCGGAAGCCAUAGCGCUGAGAUUUGGAUUUAACCUGGCCCGCAUAGUUGGAUGCAACCGGGUUGAAGUAAACUCUGAUAACUCUGAGGUUAUAAUUACAAUGCAAGAAGGAUCUUCUUCUUCAGUGGCAAGUGCAGUCUUCGAUGACUGCCAAUUCAUGGCGCUAGAUUUUUCACAUGUAAUAUAUGAACACUGUAAUAGAGAUGAGAAUCAAGUAGCACAUGAACUGGCUAAGUUAGCCAGAUUAGCUCCUCCUAGUAUCUGGACAGAUUGUAAAUGAUGCCACUAUUCUUAUAAGUGAAUAAAGGAGGAGUAAAUUGUCAAAAUAAAACUGCUGUUUGUUGUCUUUGGACCAUUGGUACUUUGUUCAUCCUCCAAGAUCAAAGAUUAUUGCUCCCUUAACUGUUUAUACAUUCAACUAGCAGAUAGUACUGCUCUUUAAAAUGUGGUGUUAUCCUACAAAAUCGAUGAAGUUAUGUGAGGUUUGGCUUUUUUUUAGAUAAAAGGCGAUAGCCCGACUUUAUAAAUAAAGCCACCAGUCAGAGUCACAGCCAACCACGAAACCACAGAAGUUUAACAAAGCCGAAAAAGAAGUGCAGAUACAAGGGAUCCAACCUAAAUGGCACGCAGGCCUCCAAACCAACAGCCAAACCACUAAGGAAGAUCCCGCCUAGAAUGCCGCAGCAGGGUGGACGCCGUAGAUUUCAUUCUGGAUAGCAUAUCGUCGAAAGCCUCUAGAUCUCCAUCCUUAAUCAAUGAUCUCCACUGCUGUAAAAAGAUAAUGGCUUUAAAUAAGCAGUUGACUGGGUUAGUUGGAAAAAUGUGUUCAAUAGUCAACUUGUUCCUAGUAGUCCAGAGCGGCCAACAAAUCGCAGCCCAGCCCACCAUGAAAACCCUCUUAGAACGGCCUACUAGGGAAUCGAUGCACUGCCUCAAAUCACCAAAGGAGGAAGGGUUCCAAUUAACCCCAAGCCAAAGUCUAAUGCAACUCCAAAUGAAUUUAGCCAAAGAGCACUGGAAAAAGAUAUGCUCAGUAUUUUCAAGGGCACCGCAAAGCUGACAUGAGUCCGAGCCCGGACCAUUCCUCUUCUUAAUCUGAUCAGCCGCAGGAAGUUUACGAUGGUGAGCUUGCCAAAGGAAGAUCUUGAUCUUGGGAGGGAUGCGGGUAGACCAAAUGUACUUAAACUUAUCCGUGCGGGUACCAGCGAUAAGUUUCAAAUACGCCGACUUUACCAAAAAACGCCCCGAAGAGGAGUGAGGCCAAACCACGGAGUCCUCUUCCUCCGAGAGCAGGGGGAAGCAGGCAAUAAGUAGAUGCCAAUCUUCCAACUCUACUGGGGAAAGAGAGCGCCGGAAAUCUAGAACCCAGCCCUGAGCCGAGAGCUCAAAGAUAGAGAUCUCGGGAUUAGCACAGAACGAGAACAGAGUUGGGUGGGCCACCGCCAACGUGGUGUCCCCAACCCACCAGUCUAACCAAAAACGCGUGGACUUACCGUUACGGACAACAAACUUCACAAGGGACUGGAAAGCCGGCCUGAUGCUAACCAGCUGGCGCCAGAAUUGAGAGCCACCACAGGCGGUAGCGAACAUAGGGCUGGAAGAAGGGAAAUAUUUUGCUUUUAGGAGAUUAAGCCAAGCGGGACGUUCGUCGAGGAACAUAAUCUUCCACCACCAUUUUAGCAGCAGGCAUUUAUUCAUGAUUCUGGUGUUAAUGAUGCCAAGACCCCCCAUGCUCUUGGGUCUACAAAUGAGAUCCCACUUCACCAUCCUAUAUUUGCGUUUAUUAUCGGAGGAAUUCCAGAAGAAAGCACCCUUGUGCUUAUCGAAGCCCGAGUGCGUCCCUUCGGACAGCAGGUAGAAUCCCAUAAGGAACAUCGGGGGCGAGGAGAGGCAGGAGUUGGUGAGGGCAACCUUGCCCGCCUGGGAAUUGUACCGGCCUCGCCACGGCAGAACUCUAUUGCCAACUUUAGUCACAACCGGGGCAAAAUCUUUAGCCAACAACUUAAGAGGGGAGAUGGGCAGGCCCAAAUAUUUCAGAGGGAAAGACCCAAGAGAAUAAUUCAGAAGGUGUGCCACCCGCUGCGCCUCCACAUCAGAUACCCCAGUCACAAUAGCCUCGCUCUUAGAGAAGUUGAUUUUAAGGCCCGACAAAGCUUCAAAGCAUAGAAGAAUAAAUUUCAGAUUUGUGAUGGAAUGAUCAUUAAGCUCCACCAAAAUGAUGGUGUCGUCCGCAUAUUGUAAGUGAGAAAUGCCAUUAGGAAUGAGAUGAGAACUAACAGGCGAAAUACGUCCAGCAGCCGCUGCUCGAGCCAGAAUGCGGGAGAGAGCAUCAGCCACAAAGUUGAAAAGCAGGGGAGACGCCGGGUCCCCUUGUCUCAAACCCCUACCAUUCGCAAAGAAAUUACUGGUCUGCCCGUUAACAGCCACCGCCGUAUGACCCCCAGAGACAAGUUGCAUCAGACGGUGGACCACCGAGCCAUUGAAUCCCUUGGCCAACAACACUUGGCGAAGGAAGCUCCAACUCACUGAAUCAUAAGCCUUUUCAAAAUCGAGCUUCAGAACCAGAGCCUUGGUGUUCUUGCUACGAAGGUCAUGGAUAAUUUCGUGGAGGCAAAGCACCCCGUCCAGUAUGUAUCUUCCCUUAAUGAACGCGGAUUGGAAAGGGCUAAUGACCCGAUGAGCGAUCGGGGACAGUUUAACAGCCAUACCCUUGGCUGGGAUCUUAGCAAAGUUGUUAAUGAGAGCAAUAGGCCUGAAUAGGGAAAUUAGGUCAGCGCCUUUGACUUUAGGAAUGAGGGUAAGGACUGCGUAGUUCAGUCUCGAGAUGUCUACAGUCCCCAACCAAAAGCCUUGAAUAAUAGCCAGGAUUAAGCCUUUUAGUUGAGGCCAGAAUUGCCGGAAAAAAGGAAUGGACAAGCCAUCAGGGCCAGACGCUGCAUUAUAAUUGGCAGAAUGAAUCGUCUCGAAAAUUUCGUCCUCCGAAGGGGGAAUUAGAAGGCUUUCAUUAUCAGCGCUCGAAAGUUGAUCACGCGGGGACCAAAAGGACGCAGCCAACUUAAAGCCUAGCUCAGGUUUAGCCGCUAGAAGGUUAGAGAAGAAGGAGACCACAUGCCGCAAAAUCACCGGUGGGUCAGAAGUCCUGACCCCAUCAAUAAUAAGGCUAUCAAUAAAGCACUUACGCCGUCUACCAUUGGCAAUAGCAAAGAAAUACGCCGUGGGCAAGUCCCCCUUGAGGGUCCAGUUGAUAGUACCGCAUUGUUUCCAGUAAAUUUCCUCCUGCCUAUGAAUGGCCAACAACGCCUCUUCUAGACUAUAUCUGGAAUGCCAUUCAUCCGGGGACAACCCAACUAAAUCCGCACAUUCGUCCAGAACGCCAAUCUGAGCCACCAGCCUUGCUUUGUCGCGCCUUGACUCAGCAAAGUGAUUUUUGGACCAACCUUUAAGGAAUCUACGCAGAAAAUAAGAGCAUUGAUGCCAGUCAUCCAUCGGGCCAAAAGACCGACGGUUCGAAGAAAGGAAGGACACAUUUUUUUGAGCCAUCAAACCAUUGAAACCCUUGACUUGAAGCCAGGAAGCAUCAAAAUGAAACCUCGAUAAACCCAUAGGGCGUGAACCAUCAUCUAGAAUCAGAGGUGUGUGAUCAGAGCCAACACAGGCAAGGGCCUUAAGACUAGCAUUAGGGAAGACAGGGUCCCAUCUCGGGCAAACAAAAACUCUGUCAAGNNNNNNNNNNNNNNNNNNNNNNNNNNNNNNNNNNNNNNNNNNNNNNNNNNNNNNNNNNNNNNNNNNNNNNNNNNNNNNNNNNNNNNNNNNNNNNNNNNNNNNNNNNNNNNNNNNNNNNNNNNNNNNNNNNNNNNNNNNNNNNNNNNNNNNNNNNNNNNNNNNNNNNNNNNNNNNNNNNNNNNNNNNNNNNNNNNNNNNNNNNNNNNNNNNNNNNNNNNNNNNNNNNNNNNNNNNNNNNNNNNNNNNNNNNNNNNNNNNNNNNNNNNNNNNNNNNNNNNNNNNNNNNNNNNNNNNNNNNNNNNNNNNNNNNNNNNNNNNNNNNNNNNNNNNNNNNNNNNNNNNNNNNNNNGGGUUGAUGAUUAGACCACGUGUACCGGGCUUCGACCCUAGGUAUCUCACGAAUAGCCAUAUCCCUAAUGAAGGCAUUGAAAGCAUCAGCCAAGGGCCACGAGAAGUUAGGAGAGCUCUUGUCGGAGGGACAUCGAAGUAGAUUAAAAUCACCCCCAAUCAACAGAGGGAGCUGGCAAGAUUCAAUCUUAAUACUAAGCUCAUCCAAAAAAGCAUAAGACAUAGCAUGGUCAGCCGGACCAUAAACCACCAAAAUUUCCACCAAGGAGUUGAGAGAUCGAAUGGAGACCACAGUGCUAGCCCAAAAAAUGCCAUGGUCAAAAGCCACGAAAUCAAAAGUACCUUUUUUGGUACCAAGUAAAAACCCGCCCGAGUGACCAGCCGAGGCCACAUAAUUCCAAUGGAAUCUGUCUAUCCCAAUAAUAGCCGAUAAUUCACUAGCAGAAAAGGAAGAUUUGAAAGUCUCGACAAGGCCAAUAAAAUCUACAUUCUCAGAUCGAACUAGGUCCUUAAGUUGGUCUCUGCGCCCCCUAGCACAGAAACCUCUAAUGUUCCAGAAAAAUGCCUUCAUUUAUACGACAAGUUUUUGAUACGGAGACUCAACCUGCUCGGGGCUACGCAGGAUUUUGAUCUUUCCCUACCCCGCGUUUAGAGACCUUCGAGGGAGCAUGACUCCUAUCAUCUCCCCCCUCGUCCCCACCAGCCACCACCAGUGGGGCGCCCGAUCCCUCCCUGGCCUCCUUGGCUUUCACAAUAUCCGCCUGAGCGAUUUCAUUCGCCCUAAUGAUACCAAGAAUAGACGAAGGAGAACCCAAACUAGAAUCUAAACAGAUACCCACAUCGUUUAAAAUAUUAAGCAAGUGAUCAUCUGAUUGAGAAGGGAGAACUAAACGAAUAGGAGUGGGAAUCGUGGGGGGGAGGGGAAGGGAGGAAAGGACGAACCUGCAGAGGGCAGAUCCCGAGCCGCCGCACGCCGAGCAGCCCGAACUGAUGGAGACACGGCCACUCUUGCAUACCGUGGACGCAGGCGAACGCACUGGAACGGGCCGCGCGCGACUGGGAGAAGCCGCAACAGAAGACGGACCCGAGGCCAUACCCAAAUCAGCCUCCAGCCGUCGGCAGAGCCCAGCCGCAGACUGCCUAGAGUCACCAGAGGCACGGCUCUUGGCGGAGAACUUCUUGACUGAGGAUUUCUUCUUCUUAUUGAGCGCCGCAGGACCCGCCGGGGGAAGAUCUUCAAUGCCUCACAGGGAGGGAGAGGCAGGGCGAGCAGGGAGGUUGGAGCAUACCACCGAGAAAGGCGUGCCCAUGGUCCUACCAGCAGCCGCCUCCUCCCCACCCAGAUCUGGCGCCGAGCCCUGGACCCCCUUGCCAGCCGGCGCGCUCUCCUUGAGCAUGUCCUGAUCUUUAGGAGAAAGGCCAUCCCACUCUGACUGGGUGAACCGUGGAUCAGACCCGCGCAUGGAGUCAUCGGGGCAGCCAUCCCCCUCCUUGCUCUUGUCGCCAUUGUCAGAGGCUGGAGGCGGGGGAGGAGGAGGAGGCGACACUGGGCCUGAGGCCCCCUCCACCCUCACACGGAGCCGGAAGCCACCAGCCGCAGGGAAGACAUCGAGGGAGCCAUGAAUGCACAGGGGGUCGACGCACCAGACCCGGAGCCGGGCCGGCCCCAGGAUCGCCAAAGAUUCUUGGUCAACAUCAAUGGGUUUGCCAAUAAGAACUCCGAAGGCCAUCAGGAAAGCCGUGGUACGCAUGCUCGGAGGGACAUCUUCUACCAGCACCCACACAUCAGACAAGGAAGAGAUAGACUUGGAUCCAUUAGAGGCCACUUUUACCAAGACCACGAGUUGAUUCAGAGGCAAAGUGAAGCUAGAGCAAGAAGAUAUCAUCCGGAGGCUCUCUUUAGAGGGGAAAGUCGCUACAAACUCGAACUCGGAGAGUUGGCGGAUCUGCCAAUCCCAUCCACCCUCGUCCCAUAACUUAAGCUCAUCGAGAAGGAUCUGAGGAGAGAUGCGUUUAUCCUGGACGGAGAUAAUGCCAACAUUGGACAGGGAAGGGAUGGGGGCAGCCUCAGGGAUCUCCCUAUCAAGAGCGAAGAAAGAGCAUCCAGGAAGACCGGUGCCAUAAUGAACAAACGAAGGAGGCUUGACACGAUUCUGAUAGUCCACCGUAAGGUGGCCGUCUUCCCGGCAGAUGAGGCAGAAGGGAGGGUUUUCACACCGCGAUUGGAAGUGGCCAGGUCGAUGACACGCAAAGCAAGUGAGUAUGGGGUUGGAGACUUGGGAUUGGGGAGGGAUGCGACCACGAGGAGGAGGAGGGAGGAUGCCAUCCCCAGCCACAGCAGGCCCGGAGCCGGAGCCCCGCCCCGCCACGGGGCCGACGGGACGCCGAGCCGGAGCCCCCGACGCGCCUCUGGGGAAGAAGCGGGACGGCCCGCCCCCAGCCUGAGCCCGCACCGGAACGCCGCCCCGGGGAGCAGCACCCAGCGGAGGGGGCGCCAGAGCGGGCCCCGAUGAACCCUCCCGACUGGCCGCCGCCGCCACCUCCCAGGGAUCGGCCGCCGCCGAAGGAGCACCAGAAGCAGGGAGAGGGGGCGCUGACGGGACCGACCCGGAAGCACGAGGAAACACACCAACGGACGCCACCGCCGACCCCGCCUCCGGAGCGAUCGAGGCCCGAAGCUUCGCGCGGAGAGCCGCCUCAUACUCCAGAUCCGCAUCCACAUCGCCAGAUCCACCACGGCCCCGAUUCUGCCCGGAGAUCGCCUCACUUGAGGACGCACGGGAGCGGUUCAUCGCCGCCACCACAGCAAAGGGGAGGGAAAGGGGAGGAGGGGGAGCAGAUCUGCCGAAGUGCCGGAUUGGGAAACGGUGGCGGAGCAGAUCUGAAGAGGAGGCAGGAAACCCUAGGAAUGGGGGAGCCGCACCUCUCCGCACCCAUAAGUACCCCGACCGAGCCAGGCCCGAACCGGUACACGGCCUAACAGAAGAGGUGGGCUGGACCUGGGCCGCCCGCAGCCCAGGGUCCACAGAAGGAAGAGGGGGGAAUUCAGAAAGAGACGCCAGGGCCAAGGCCGAAGCCCGCCCACCAGGCCCAGCAGCACCCACCGGGGCCCGCACCACAGGAAGGGGCAACAACACCGCCCCCGCAACCAGAUCUAGGGUUUGGACCGGCGCCGGCGCCGCCAUCGCAGCGGAGGACGAACUCUCAUGCGCGCCAGCUCGCGAACCCACCGGAGAGGGCGAGGCCGACUCCGGCGCAGACCGCAGCGAAUCCAAACACGGGGACCAGCACGAAGCAUGACGCCGCCCGCGCGAGACGCGGCGCCACCCAUCCGACUCCACGGAAGGCCGGACUGGCCGCCCCCGCCCACCGGGCGCAAACUUGCGCCGGCGAGCGGCCGCCGCAGCCACGAGGGGAGAGCACGCCGGGGACGAGCGCAGUGGGGGAGAGGAAGCCUCAGAAUCCGAGCCGGAGCCGUCCGAAUCGAGAGCCCAGAACUUGUUAGCCCGAAGAGGGGCGAUGAGGAUAGAGCGAGGAGUCGAGGCCAGAGAGCAAGAGGGUGUUGCGCGGGGUGCCGGAGCGAAGCCCGGAGGAGAGCGCGGAGGGGGUGGGGAGGAGGAGGAUGCACGAGGCCGGGGCGCCGCCGGAGCUUCGCCAGUCACCGGAGACGCCGCGAGGGGGAGGGGAGAGGGAGGGGAGGGAAGAGCCAUCCGUCGCCAGGACUCCAAAGUUUGGCUUCAGACCCUUUGCUAUUUUCACAUUGCUAGAUAAAUACAUGUGUUGAAUUUUUCCAAACUGUAAAAUAACAUUGCAGAGAGAUCUCUAAUAGGACAAUGCACUCCUGUGAAGCAUGCAUAACUAAAAUUUAUAUCUUGCUUUUAGACCAGAAACCACUGAUCUUUUUUGUUGCCAGGUAUAUCGACGGAAGGCCUGAACAACGCCUCAACCAUGUACCACCGUCUUCUCGUUGCAUCGUGGCAAAUUUCCCAAUGUAAGUUGUCGUUGCUCAGAGCACAACACGGUAAUGGUGUUACACAAAUGCGAACCCGACGUAUUCGUUCAGAUGAUCAUGUCAAAUGGAUGAGACUGAAGGUGGGAAAACAUAAGCUUUUGCACAGAAACCUCAUAAUUUUUUGCAAACAAUGGAAUCCUCGUAAUUUACAACAUGGUAGUACAACUCAGACAGCCAACUGCACACUUCACCGCAAGCAUAGGCACACACACUCCUUACUUGCCAGGAACGAAGUUGGUGGCGAAUGCCCAGGCAUUAUUGUUGACGGGGUCGGUGAGGUGGUCAGCGAGGUUCUCAAGUGGACCCUUACCGGUGACGAUGGCUUGCACAAAGAAACUGAACAUGGAGAACAUGGCGAGGCGACCAUUCUUGAUCUCCUUAACCUUGAGCUCGGCGAAUGCUUCAGGAUCGUCGGCAAGGCCAAGUGGGUCAAAGCUACCGCCGGGGUAGAGCGGGUCGACAAUCUCACCUAGUGGUCCACCAGCAAUACGGUAACCCUCAACGGCACCCAUGAGCACAACCUGACAAGCCCAAAUGGCAAGGAUGCUUUGCGCGUGCACGAGGCUUGGGUUGCCAAGGUAGUCGAGGCCGCCCUCGCUGAAGAUCUGUGAUCCGGCCUUGAACCAAACGGCCUCACCAAACUUAACGCCGUUGCGGGCGAGCAGCUCAGGGAAGACACAACCGAGUGCGCCAAGCAUGGCCCAGCGGCAGUGGAUCACCUCCAACUCAUGGUUCUUGGCAAAGGUCUCGGGGUCGGCCGACAGCCCAGCGGUGUCCCAGCCGUAGUCGCCAGGGAACUCACCAGUGAGGUAGCUCGGGGGCUCGCCAGAAAGUGGGCCGAGGUAGAGCACACGGUCAGAGCCGUACGGGCUGCCAGAAGCAACCUGCUUGGCCUUUGCUGCCGUCUUGCGCAUGGUGACGCGGGCCUCGCCGAAAAGAGGCGAUGAUGGCAAGUUCUUCACUGCCUUGCCGGCAAAGGCUGGGGAAGAGAGCGACAUGGUGGUUGCGGCCAUUCUGAUCGUGGAGGUCCUCUGUAUUCUGUUCUCCAAGAAGGAGGAGUGGGUGUGGAGAUGUCUUGAGAGGAUCGGAGCCCGGGGCUUCUUAAGGCAGUGACUUCUGUAGGCUGUCAAGACUCAAGAGAGAGUUGCGGGACAGGAAAUCUGUAUCUUGGAUGCCAUUGGUGCAGAGAGACUUCGAGAGGCACACGGGGAUCAGAGAUUUUUUAGAACGAAGGCUCAAGAAGAGCCCGGCUUUGAAUUAACAAAGCCAUCAACCGGCCAGGAAUACAAGAAACAAGAACACCACACCACAUCGGCCAAACGAUACAAGGGGGCUGCAAGAACAGCUUACAACGCUACUCCCACAACCAGCAAACAGAAGAUGAACUAUGAAGAACUGCUAGUUGAGGAUAAGCCCCACUACAACAAGGCACCAAUAUGGCUACAAGUGCAGCCUCGAGGAGCACCGGCAAGGAAUCGAACACAGGGAGGAAACCAGCAGAUGAGAAGAUCCAAACACUUGCCCUCUCUAACAUCGAAAGGGAUCCCUUCCCCUCGCCUAGGCUCGAAGGCGCCGCACCGUCGAAUGAAGAGACGCUCACCCGAGAGCUUGAGCAAAGGUUGGUCUCGAGACUGGGCCCGCCACGGAGCACGACCACAGGUCGGAGCACACACAACAGCAACACCGCAGACACCGAAGGCGGCCAAUCGUAGAGGGUAAGCCGCCGGAAGAGUUGCCGGAGUGAAGGAGCUACCGAGCCACAGGGACUUGAUGGACACCAGCCGCCCACCUACCAGCUGCUGCACGCAAACCCAAAGCGCCAAUCUUCCCUAGGCUAAGCUAAGCUGGGAAUCAGAGAUACUUGUGGCUAUGGCUAAGCUGGGAAUCUCCGUGGAGAACGGUGAUUGGGUUACAUGCCUUCCCCCCCAAAAGGAAAAUAUAUGGCAUCCAUUAUUGCAGCGAAUGAACCUGCCACCACAACCGUUGAACAAACGUGUAAUGGAUGCAAUUCCUAAUUGACUGCUGUGCAUAAAACAUUGAUGCUCAUGCAUGUGCCUCGGUGCUGUACGAAAUUUGUUCAAAGAUAGAUGGUGUAUAAUGUGUAUCAUAACAAUUCCCUAAAUCUAACCAUCAGUAUACAGUCAAAUAAGUGAAAUAAAAAUAGCAGUUUUGAAUUGUGAUGAAAAGUUAACUUGUUUAAUUAUUUCAUUAAGAUAUCUAUCGGUAAAUUCUAUUACAUUCUAUCCAGCCCUUGAUUCAAUGAACCAUCAAAGUUAAGUAUAGCUUUUAAUGGAUUGGAUUAAAGUAUUUCCUUCUUGCCUAAGGCGUUAGUUUUUAACAAAAUCUAUAGAAUUUUUCGUUCUUAUGUACACCUGGGGAGAUAUAUGACCCUUGCAAAUGCAUGUCUAAUACGUAUGACGGUUGUGCGAUGAUAUAGUUUUUACAUCUCACACCGGCUAGAGCGAAUCUAAGUUAUCUUUUGGUCAACUGUCCACCUAGGAUAUCUUUUGCUUAGAACCUCUCUUGGCAUUGUUUCUUUUCAUGGAAAACAGCCCCUGUAUAUUCACUUCUUCAAGGAUCAAGAUUUUUUUCCACUAAAAAUAAUGAAAAUACAAUUAGGAAGUAAUAUAAAAUACCAAAUACGGGAGUUGAUUUUUAUCUUCAAAUUUCAUUUAUGGAGUGGCUGAGUGGCGUUACAAACGUGGCAUCAAUUGGAUGAUUAAAUAGCUUCCAACAUUUUAGUAUACUAACAUGCAUCUAGGAUGAAAUAAGUCGAUUAACAUCAGGCUACCUAUAUGAACAACCUACAACCUUGGAACAAUCUUGAAGGUCGGAUUCUUCCAUGGAUUUUCAUUUUGCACAACAGUUAGCACAUUGAUAGGCCACUUACAUACUGAACAUGGGGAUGGUUUGCACCCGCCUGCAGCACUGAUUUUCAAGGAGCUUCGGGCUUCAUGGGGUAACCGUGGAGGUAACAGGGAGAAUGAUAAGCGUGCAACAUCGGUUAAUGAGGUAGCUACAGAUGGUGAAGACAUGGAAGUUGAUGCUGGUAAGCGUUCUGAUUCUGAUCCAGAUGCGAACAGAAAGAGACCGGUUGUAGGACUGGGUGUGAAUGCACCUACUCAUAAGCUUAAUGCUCCGGUUUCAGCUAUAGGACCACAGUUUUUGUUGACAAAUACAGGGCAGGCUGCUCUUAGUCCUCCUACGGAGCAUGAUCUUAAGAGACAUAAAGUGAUUCAGUCCAGUAAUAGUUCAAAUAAUUCGUCAGCAUCGGUGGGUUCUUUCGAGGAACGCCGCCGGGACCAAUGAAUCUAAUAAGUUGGAACUGCCGGGGCGGGGGGAAUCCCCAGACAGUUCGUGAGUUAGCGACCAUUGCUCGGUCGCAUUCCCCCACGUUUGUGUUCCUUUGCGAGACUAGACAAAAAGCAGAGAAAAUGAGAAGGAUUCGAGGUCGCCUUGGCCUCAAGGGUUUUGCCGGUGUGGACAGUAAUGGUAUGAGUGGUGGCUUGGCCUUCUAUUGGCAUGAGUCAUGUAUAGUUGAUAUUCUUCAUAAAGAGGACAGAUACAUUGAUGCUCUGGUACAGGUUAAUGCGGAUGCUGCACAAUUGAGAAUUACAUGGGUCUAUGGCGAGCCGCAUGUGGAAAACCGGCAUUUGAUGUGGGCUAAACUUCAAGGCCUAAAGAAUGUUAGCGAUCUGCCGUGGUUAGUUAUCGGUGAUUUUAAUGAAGCUUUAUGGGAUUUUGAGCAUUUAUCAAAUACCCCUAGACCUGAAUCACAAAUGAUUGAUUUCAGAGAUACCCUGGAAGCUUGUGAACUUGUCGAUUUGGGAUUCUCAGGUGUCCCUUACACAUAUGAUAAUAUGCGCAGCGGAGUGGGCAACGUUAAGGUUCGGCUUGAUAGGGCCACGGCGACCAACUCAUGGCGCAACAUGUUUGCGUUUUCUACAGUCCAACAUGUUGCUUCUCCGUGCUCUGACCAUGUCUUACUAAUCCUAGAAGGGAAGCCGGAUGAUGGGUACAGAGGCCCCAAGUCAAGGAGAUAUGAGGUUUUUUGGGAACGUGAUGUAGCUCUCCCAAACGUAAUUAAAGAUGCAUGGGAAUCGGUGGGAAUAGUGGACAAUCUAGAGAGAUUACAGGGUGCACUUAGCAAGAGCAUGGCUACUCUCGGCAUGUGGAGUAACAAAAAAAUUGGUAAUGUGGCAAGGGAAUUAGCUAAGUCCAGAUCCCAGCUUGAGGAGUUGAUGAACAUGAAUGCGGACAGGCAGGAUAUUAGGCGGAUCACGGAUAAAAUGAAUGAGUUAUUAUAUCACGAAGAGAUGAUGUGGAUGCAACGUUCACGAAUUACGUGGCUAAAAGAGGGUGACAGAAACACAAAAUAUUUUCAGAGCAAGGCGGUUUGGAGGGCGCGGAAAAAUAAAAUUCGUGAGCUCACAGAUAGUAUUGGUAAUGUUCACUCUGAUUUUAAUAUCAUGUCUAGUAUGGCUAAUGAAUAUUUCUAGGGUAUUUUUUCGGCUGACCGUAACCUAGAUGCCUCCCUCAUUCUUGAUCUAUUGGAAAAAAAAGGUGUCAGAGCUGGACAAUGAACGUUUAUGUGCUCCGUUUUCUGAUAAGGAAAUAGCAGAUGCGCUAUUUCAGAUUGGUCCUUUGAAGGCUCCGGGACCAGAUGGUUUCCCGGCAAGAUUCUUUCAGCGUAAUUGGAGUACUUUGAGAGAUAAUGUCAUCGGUUCGGUUAAGGAAUUCUUCAGGACGACAGUUAUGGCUGAUGGGGUAAAUGCUACUUCUAUUGUUCUUAUUCCUAAAAUUCCUAACCCCACCCGUUUGACUGAUUACAGGCCUAUAAGUCUAUGUAACGUCAUUUAUAAGGUUAUUUCUAAGUGCCUUGUUAACCGUAUGCGACCUUUACUGGAUGAUAUAAUUUCUGUGGAGUAAAGUGCUUUUAUUCCGGGAAGGAUGAUCACUGAUAAUGCCCUAGUGGCUUUUGAAUGCAUACAUCACAUCAAGCAGGAAAAGGACCCGAUGAAGAGUUUUUGUGCAUAUAAACUUGAUCUGUCUAAAGCAUAUGAUAGGGUGGACUGGGUAUUCUUGGAGCAGGUGAUGCAUAAGUUGGGUUUCUCUCAACUGUGGGUGGACUGGAUAAUGUCUUGUGUCACAUCGGUGAGAUAUUCUGUCAAAUUAAAUGGGACCCUCUUGGAUUCAUUUGCACCGUCGCAAGGUCUUCGGCAAGGCGACCCUCUUUCCCCUCUUUUGUUCCUCUUUGUGGCUGAUGGUUUAUCUGCAAUUCUCAAGCAUAGCCUUUCUUGUGGUGAUAUAACUCCUAUUAAGGUGUGUAGAAGGGCUCCGGGCAUCUCACAUCUUUUAUUUGCGUAUGACACUAUGCUAUUCUUUGAGGCUUCACUAGCACCGGCUGAAAAGGUGAAGCAAGCUUUGGAUCUAUAUGGUUCCGCUACUGGUCAAAGCCUAAAUUUUAACAAGUGCUCAAUUUUGUUUGGAAGUACUUGUCCUGUUGCUGUCCAGGAACAAGUUCGGGGUGCACUAAACGUGACUAGCUUGGUUUUCGAAGAGAAGUAUCUAGGGCUUCCAACUCCAGACGGUCGCAUGUCGAAAGGCCGCUUCCAAAACCUUCAGAUGAGUUUGACCAAACGGCUUAUACAGUGGGGUGAUGGUUUUCUAGCACAACCUGGCAGAGAAACUCUUAUUAAAUCUGUAGCCCAGGCAUUACCCACCUACAUUACGGGUGUGUUCAAAUUACCAUUCUCUCUGUGUGAUGAAUUAACUAGGAUGGUAAGGAGUUUCUAUUGGGGCUCUGCUAAUGGAAAAAUAAAAGUACAUUGGCGAGCUUGGGAUGAUCUUCUACAACCAAAAGAUAAAGGUGGUGCUGGUUUCCGAGAUUUUCGGCUCUUUACUCAAGCCCUUCUGGCUAGGCAAGCUUGGAGGUUAAUUGUUAAGCCAGAAAGUCUAUGUGCACAAGUACUAAAGGCCCGAUACUAUCCGAAUGGUAAAAUUGAGGACACAGUCUUCACGGGGAUGCAUCUUCCUCUUGGCAAGCAGUGAGUUAUGGACUUGAGCUCUUGAAAAAAGGAUUGAUAUGGAGAGUGGGCAAGGGAGGAGUAUCCGUGUGUGGCGUGACAAUUGGAUACCCAGGCCCUUCUCGUACAAACCUAUUACUGUCCAAGGAAGAUGUCGCAUUAGAUUUGUCUCUGAAUUGUUGAAUGCAAACGGCUCUUGGAAUUAUGGUUUGUUGCAAAAUUAUUUCAUGCCGGCCGAUGUAGUUGAGAUUAUUAAGAUUCGAGCUUCACCUAGGCAGGAGGCCGAUACAAUGGCUUGGGGACCAGGCAAGUAUGGAGAUUUUACAGUAAAAAGUGCUUAUCAAUUAGCCUUUGGAGAGGUGUACAGAGAUACUGCUACAGGGUCUAGUUCUAGACCGGAUGGACGUCGUGAUUGCUGGAAGUUGAUUUGGGCUUGUGAGGUUCCUCCUACAGUUCGCAAUUUUGCAUGGAGAUUAGCGACGAACUCGUUGCCCACGUGGCAGAACAAACACACUAGAGGUCUGGAAAUAGAUGAUUUAUGUCCUGUGUGUUCGGUUGAGACUGAGGAUAAUUUUCACCCGUUUUGUUGCUGCACUCAUGGACGCGAGUUAUGGAGGGUCAUGGCGAAGGUGUGGAUGCUACCGGCUCUCUCUUCCGUCCAAAAUACAGGUGAGGAGUGGUUAUUUCAUGUGCUAUAUCCGCUACCUGAUAUUGAGCGCUCUAUGUUACUGAUGAAUCUCUGGCGUGCUUGGCAUAUUCGCAAUGAAGUGGUACAUCAUAAACCCCCUCCCCCUAUGGAAGCGUCUAGAACAUUCCUUGUGAGUUAUUUGGACUCUUUGGUUGGUCUCAAAACUGAGCUAUCUUCUGAUCCGUCCAAAGGGAAAGUGGUUAUUUCAUAUGGCAAACCGGUGCAUCAAUCACAUGCGAUAAUGAUGCAAGAGGUACAACCUAAGUGGUGUCCUCCUGUUAGUGGUUGGGUUAAAUUAAAUACUGAUGGUUCAUUUGCUGUGGAUGGUACUGCUGGUGCGGGUAUGGUUCUAGGAGAUGCCAAGGGCAAGAUCAUAUUCUCAUCCUGUAGGGCGCUAUUUUCAUGUCGUGAGGCUCUCGAAGCUGAAUUGUGUGCGUGCAUGGAAGGUCUCUCUUUCGCCAUAGAAAGAAGUGAAUUACCUAUCAUAAUUGAGAUGGAUUCUAUAGUUGCUGUCAAGUUGAUCCAAGGCCGCGAAGAGGAUAGAUCAAUCUACGCUUCUCUCAUUAAGGAAAUUAGGCAUCUCUUGUCUCUUCGUGAUUCUUAUAUUACUCAUGUUAAUCGUACUCAGAAUAAUGUUAGCGAUAGUUUAGCUAAGUUUGCUAGAGAAGAGGGCAGAACUAUGACCUGGUUAGGGUCUGGCCCUGAAGUUGCUUUGUCUUUAGCUUUUGAUGAUUGUAAGGAUCUUGUGAUUGAGUAAUACAAGUUUUCACCCGCAAAAAAAGCACAUUGAUAAUGCACUUUACACUAGGAGACACUACUCAAGAGUGUCGUGAAAUACUUUGGUGAUCUUCCUGCUCUUGUCUUUUCCCAUCCAAUUGGCGAGAACACAAUCCAACCCAAUCCAAUAGUACAUCGAAUUUCCAGUCCAAUCGAAUGCAUAAAUGAUCUAGUCAAGAACUAAAAAUAAGCUAAUAAGCAGCUAACCACACAUCUCAGCGGCUAGCAGAAGCACACCGAAGGGGGUUGAGAAGGAGGCCACAGUCCGAUUGAGCUUCGCGGCGGAGUUGGUGCUCUCUAUCUAGCUCGAGAGGCCACACGCGGGAGGUGGGGUCGUGCUCGCCUAUGGCCUCAGAGCAGGCCACCGCUCGGGACACGCAUCCCAACUUGAUUGAUUCUAGGCUUUAUAUUAGCAUUGAAAUUCCGAUCAUGUAGUCACCGUAGUUCGGGAAUCGUCGAUACGAAGAUAGGAUCCAAGCGCUCUGAUAGGUGUCCAACGUACAAUUUUUGCAUGUUUCAUACCAUAUCUCCAUCAUUUAUGCAAAGAUUUUGAAGCUUAUUUGGACUAACAUAUUAAUAAAGUUCCUAGUGUUAGUUCCUGUUUCCUAGUGUUCAUGUUUGGAAGUAAAUUAGGUAUUUUAAGCCUUCAGGAAAAAAAUACGAUAAUGAUGUGUAUGCACCAAGGAGCAUCGAGGUGACUUGGAGUUAGGCCAAGAGGGCACGUAGGCGCCACUGUAGGUGCCUAGGAGGGCUAGGAGAUGUACGAACCUUCCGGAACCCUUCUUUGACCCCUAACUUUCCCCUGAAGUAUUUUAAUGGCCCUAAAAAGAUAAAAUUUUCGUAGUUAUGGAUGAUAACUAGUCAUCAUGUUUUUUAUCGCCACUCUGUUAAUUUAACAAAUGUAUGCUUUAUUGUGUAAAGAUGCAUGUAAUUGUAUAAUUGAGAUUAUAUUGACAAACUAUUUUUCAUCAUUUGAUAUUUGUUAAAUAACUUAAUAUUUUGAAUAGUAAUAUUGACACUUAAAUUGCUGGCUUAUUUUCAUUAAUAUUUUAGCCACAUUUUAUCUCUUAUAAUGGAAAUAAUCUAAAAUUUUAACUUGAUAUUAAAAAUGAUAAUUAACCUUAUUUUUAUCUAAUCUUUCAAAACUCAAAUGUGAUAGUGUUUUUUCACAGCCAAUUUGUCAAAUGUUGCAUACUAUCAAAAUUUAUUAGAUGUAUACUAAUGGUAACCUCAAAACGGGUAAUAAUGCUCAACAGUAACCUGCAUCACGAAAUUCUAAUUAAAAUUUUGUUUCAAAUCAUUCGUCUAACUCACGAAAAUAUGAAAGCAAAACUAACCUAGAGUCUAGUAUCAUAAUGCAACACAUGAUAGUCUUAGAAAAGUGAACAAACAUUAUUUAUAUCAAACUUUUAUAGUUAUUUACAACUCAAUGAGUCAAACCUCAUUAUUAGCUAGUAUAUUUUAUUAGUUACCAUACUAACUACAUGACAAUGUUGGUACUUGUUAUGCAGCUACAACAUGUUUCAUAAUUCAAACAUAUUUUGUCAAAAAACAUAUUAUUUUUUUAUCUUUGAGUCAUAUUUACUUACGAAGAUCUUUAAAAUAAACUAGUGGGUCCACCCGCGCAUUUGCGCGCUAGAUCUUUUUUGUUGCUAUUUAUGUAUUUGAGACAACCAUUUGUUGGCAUUUGAGUAUUCUGUUUCUGUGUGGUAAAACCAACAUAGUGUACAACUAAAUGUUGAUUUAUUAGGUGCCACUAAAAAUUGGUGUGAAAAUGAUGUUCCUUAGAUUAGGUUGUGAUAAAUUUAAAUAUAAUUUUAGAAACAAAAACCUGUUUCAUAGCUAAUGAUUUCAAAGAUUUGGCAUAUAUACAUUUUCUUAACAUAAGUGCAUAUUUGCAUUUAGGGCUGCCUCGAUGUAGUUAUAUUAUUUAAAUAUAUGUAAAUUUCUUUGCUCUCCUAGAAUGGCAUGUUUCAUCGGUAAUCACCAAGCCUACCAUAAUAUAUAAUUCAUCUCCAAGCCUACCGGAUUAAGGAAGAAAAUGUUCUUCUGUAAAUUCACUAAACGGUUGAUAGUACCAAGUGUACUUAUUAAUGUUUCAAGCACGUCUAAAUAUAUAAAAAAAUAGAAAUAAUGUUUCUAUGCCUAAAAAAAGGGACGCUCUAGGAAUUCGUCUUGUAAUCAUGAUUUUUUUUAAAAGAACACCAAAAAAUCUGAUCAAUUUUUUCUUGGAAAUUUAUACACAAAAAAGACAAAUGUCCAUGACUAUUAAAAAAAUUGUUGACAUAUGAAAAGAUAUUGUUUUUAAGUGGGAGCUCAGCUCAUCCUCUUGUUUUACAUUUUUCAUUAUGAGUGCCGAGAAGAAACGUUAAUCACACGUCGGAUGCGCUGCAUGUGGAGCAUGCAGCAAUACUGUGAAGUCGCAACUCCUCGUGACGCCUCGGUAUAUAUAGCUCCGGUUCCAAUAAGCGCGCCCGCGAUGUAUCGGAGCAGGUGGCUCUGCCGGCAUCCGCGACGCGGCAGAUCCUUUCAGUAUAGGCUCUCUCGGCCUUUCAUCUCGGCGCGCACUCCUUGUUGGCUCCGAAGUCAGAACUGCUCCAACUUUUUGAUGCAGCCGCUGCAGCUGGUAUUCGCGGUGCUCGUACGCCAGCUUCUCCUCCUUCGGCUACACCACGUAUGCGCGGGCGCAUCCAUCUCGCUCUUUAGCAGCUACAUGGCGAUGGCCCCUUCUUGCUCACCCGCGACCCUCGCGCUUGCUGCAGGCUUGUUCCAAUCCUGCUCUUCCGCAUCCCUUGCCUCGCUCGGCUCUCGCGCCAACUGUGCUUGAGUACUCGUUGUUGUGUGUGUGGAAGCGAUUGUUGUGUAACACGUUGCUGCCCACAAUCCCAACCGAGCCGGUGGUGCUGGGGCAAAACUACAGCAACUUCUCAGCUUCCUGCUCCCUGGCACGAUGAAAGAGUUCGCCGCAGUCUUGCCGGAGUCGAGAAGCAUGCGAGAGUGGUUCGUGCGGUCGUUGAGGCAAAAGGGGUCUACAGGAAGGUCCACAGCGAGCUGCGAAGUUGUAGCACCCAUGCAUGUCAGCCUUGGACUGUUUUCUGAUGUUGCCGCCCGGAGCGAGGUGCGUCGGGGUCGUCAGCCUUCUUCCAAAGAGUUUCCCUCGGCGCUUCGUCUUCUUUCCUUGCUCCCGCCGAUCGAUUUGCAGCAGCGGAAAGUGCCAUGGGCUCUGAUUGGAUCAUGGGCAUGCAUCCGGAAGUUGGAGCCGAGCCAAGGUGUCUUAUGGAUCACAUCUAUUUUGUACGUAGGAGUAAGCGAUAAGGACUCUUAUCUCUAUUGCGAUUCGAAUUCAGAGUAAAGGCAGGAGUAUUAUAAGCUUUCCUUGUUGCAUGUACGUUUCAUGGGUGGUUACCACUAAAAAAAAGUGCCUAAUGUAUUUUUUGCAUGUAAAAGGUGCCUAAUAUGGCUGGUUGGAAAUCGUAUGGGAUGUGGAGGCUUGUGUACGUGUACUUCUUUCUAACAAACCCAGUUCGUUCUUUUAAGCUCUUUUUUUGUGUGCUUGCGCCGAACAGUAAUAUUUAUGCAUAUUGAAGUUUAUAUUUGUUUAAUUUUCUAUCUUCUCUAUCCUACAAUCAUUUGGUUUGCUUGCAUGGAGCGGCCUUUUGUUUUUAAUUUUAACCUUCUCGCACCAUCAUUUUUUUCUUCUGUUGGGCAGUAUGCUUCGCUUACCCUUCGAUAGUGUAUUUUUAUUAAAACUUCGGGGAUCAGAAUUUUUCCUAAGAAUUCGCUUUAUAUUUCAAAUAUAAUUUUACAUCUAACUAAAAAAAGCAUGAAAAUAAAAUUUCUUUUCUCAGUUGUGCAAUUUAUUUUACAAUGUCAACCGUGCAGAAUUUGAGUUGAUGUCGAAUUAUAAUUCUAUGUUUUUUCCUUUUUUUUAUUAACCUCGCAAGUUGAAAAAGGCUCUAAUUAUGGCAAGAUGCAAGUAUGUAAGCUAAACAAAGUAAAUUCUAUGUGCAUUGAGCUCAGUCUGAUUGAUAUGAUUAAGAACAUAUGCUUCAUGCAUGGGGUGCUUCAUACGGAUGUGCUUCUCAUCAAUCUCAUGCAUGUUUUUAUUGAAACCUGGUCCAAUCAGUGUUAGAAAAAAAGCAUUAAAAAUCAAGUUGACCUAAUACUGCUUUGACGUACAUGAAAUGCUUCUGUUCCGGACUCCCUUUUUUAGCUUGCGUUCCGUAGUCCAUUUGAGCUUUUGGACCGCAUAGAUUUAUUGGAUGUACAUGAUUUAAAUCUCCUACACAUACACGGCACCCUAAAAGAAUCGCAUCUUUAAUUAGCUUCCAUCUCCUACACGUCUCCUUCUCUUAUAGUAUGUGAUUCUGAUUGCACUUUUUCCAUCUACAUAUAUGUACUAUGUACGUGACAGAUUUGUCAUGUGCAAAAAGCAUAUAGGCAUGUAAACUAUAUUUGUAUGUAACGUUUACAUCUUUAAAUCUUGACCGUUUAUAUCUAAAAUUAGUGGUUUAGAUAAUUUAAAUAUAGGCAUGUAAACUAUAUUUGUAUGUAACGUUUACAUCUUUAAAUCUUGACCGUUUAUAUCUAAAAUUAGUGGUUUAGAUAAUUUAACAUAUGUGGACGAACGUGAUGGCUUGUUUGCCUCUUGUCUUAAUUAUAUAAUAGAUUUGUAAGAAUGGUUGAAAAGUAAAAAAUAAAUAAAACCACAUGCUUCCAAGGAUUGAUUUGUGACACUUGUAUCUUUACCUAAUAAUAAAGCAAAUUGGGUUUCUGGUCGUCCGUCAUUAUAAUUACCCUCCAAAUUGGUAAAAAUUACCCACCAAUGCCACCUGUAAGUGGGAAAACGAUUCAAUUUUUUGGACCAAAAACCGCCGCCCCCUUGGUUGUUUUAUAGCACGGCGACGAGUAGAAGUACCAGAACUACCGGCAACAGAGUGUUUGGGCGAGAGCUCCUCUAGCCAUGAGACCAGGCACUAGUGUAGAACCGGGCUAUAGCACCGGUUCGUAAGGGCCUUUAGUGCCGGUUCUGUAACCGGCACUAAAGGGUGGGGACUAAAAGUCCCCCUCUUAGUACCGGUUCUGCACGAACCGCCGCUAAAGGGCCACCACGUGGCACGAGCCAGGGCCGGGUGUGGGGAGACCUUUAGUGCCAGUUGGUAACACCAACCGGUACUAAAUUUUUUGGGGGAUUUUGGUUUUAUCAUUUAUUUUUCCUUUAAUGUUGUGUUUUCCAUUUAAUUAUUUUUCAUUUGCUGUUAUUUUACGAUACUACAUAUUGUACACAUUAUGCAUAUAUAUAAAUAGAAUUUCUCGUAGAACCGAUCAUAUAUAUACAGUUUUUCCUAAUGUUGUCUUCAGAGCCAGUGGCAUUUACCUUGGUGACUUCGGAGCACGAUGAUGAUUGGGAGUGGUUCAUUGGGGCGGUAACUCGUAAUAGAAUUCCCCUUUGGGAUCUAUAACCCUGUCGAACAAAAAUCCCGCUAUUUCCUCUUGAGGUGCUCGUAUGCGCUCCUCUGGUAGGAGCUUCUCCCGCACCGAUUCGAACUGUUAAGAAGGAGAUCAAUAUGCAUGUGUAUUAGUUAUGUGACUAGAUAUCGAUAAUGAUCUAAAAAUUGUGAAUAUUGUUAUGUCAAACGUACCCAUAGCUGUCUAUCAAUUUUGGUCCUUUCGGACGUCAUCAUGCGAAUGUUCUCGAAAACGUAGUAUUCACACACAUCAGUCCCCUUUGCCUGCUUCAGGGCCUUUACGACAAUAGAAUUUAAUCAGAUAAUAAUUAAUCAAGCAUGAUAAUUAAUGAUAUUGAAACUAGAAUUAAAUAGAUGCAUGGUAGCUAGCUAGUACUACUUAAUUAAUUAUACGUUGGGUCGAAACCAAUACAGCUUUUCUCUCCAUUCGCCUGGAACAUCUUUCGAAUUCCUAAACUUUUCCCAAGCCCUACCCGCCGGCAAAGAAAAUGAAUAAACGAGUUAUUAAAUAGUUGAUAUCAGGAAAUGACGAACUAAAGAGGCCGACAUAUAGUUAAUAAUGAUUGAAAUUACCUGUCGACUAUCCCCUUCAUGAUUGUGUAGUCUCUUUUUUUAAGUAGUGAGUCCAGUACUUCAACUGUUCCUUCGUCAGCUUUAAUGAUUAACAAGAUCCAAACUGCAUGCACACACGUUUGCAUGUCUUAAUUAAGCGGGGAUGUGCAUAACACUCAUCAACUACCCUAAACCCUAUACACUUAAUUAUUAACAUCUAGCCAGCUAGUAAGUAGAAACAGAAUUUAUAGUACAAGACAGUGUGACUCACAGGAAGUUGUAAGGAAGUAGUAUAUCUUCAUUGAUAUUGAGGCGCUUCAAGAACUCUAGCAUGUUUUUCUCUACAUCUGCUUUAUACCAUGGAUAUGUCCAUGUUUCUUCAUUAACGGUAUUUGGGUCAAUGAACCAAAUGCCAUAGCGUCCACCUUUUUUCAUUUCAUACAUCUUCAUCCUGCAUAAUACCACAGAAAAGAAUAUAGUGAGGAUAAUUACAGGUAAUGAUCGAUCAAUGAGCACUACAACUAGCUUGAGACUUAAAUUACAGAAAGAAAUCACUUACAGAUAAUAGCAACUGACGAGAGAUUUGUCGAUUGCGUCUUGAUUGAAUAACUGAAAUAGUUCUGAAUACUCAACGGAAAGAGCUAGCUUAUCGAAGUAAUACUCUUCCUUGACUUUCACCAUGAGGGACUCUCGAUUGGUACUCUUGGUAAUUUUCAUGUACCAAUCAUGCAAUUCAUACAUUCUCGUUGGGAGGUUCUUGACCUCCUCAGGCUUGACCAAAGGUUGGCCGCGGACAUAUUUCCGUUUUAUGUCCUCCUCUCUAAGCAGAGGCAUGGGCUCAAUCUCGAGGAGUUGUCCAACAGUGAUGCCGAGCAUUUCAACCUGCCUUAUAUGCUCGUCGGUUAUUAUCAGCCGACUGGCGUCGAUACUCUCAUGUGUUGGUACAACAAGCGGGGGGAUCAAUUGCGCCACCUGUUCUCCUAGUUGUGGAACGGUUUUCCCGCAUUUUUGGCUAGCUGGUUGGCUCGAGCUCGAGCUCGACUCCUUUUGUCAUGCUCGAUGUGCCUUCCUGAUUUGGCGCUCAUAGUCUGUGUCAACAGGCUUGGGAGCUGGUGCUUUAGCCAUAUGAAUAAAGUGGUCAAUCUUUUCCUCGAGCACUUUCUCCCUUGGCGGUGGUGGCGGUUUUGGGGCAAAAUGGGCGUCCACUUGGGCCUUCACUAUGGCUUCGUUUUGCUCCUUGGUCAUAUCGUAAGGCCUCUGCAGAAGAGGCGCGAGGCUUAGACCAUAUUGAAAUUGCUUGCCUCCGCAUGUACCUCCUAUACUACCUCGACUUGUAGCACUGCGCACCAUAGCUGCGGUGGCUCUCUUCCGCGAUUGCUGAGGUAGCGGAGAUGGCUGACGCGUUGUCGGACUUGGAGGAGGAGUGGCACGCGUUGGUGGACUUGGAGGAGGAGGAGUGGCCUCACACGUUGGCUGUGUUGAAGCAGGAGGAGUGGCCUCACGCGUUGGCUGAGUUGAAGCAGGAGGAGUGGCCUGAAGCUGUGCCGGACUAGGAGGAGCGAGAGUCGUCUGCUCCUCGUCACCUCCUGGGAUGUCAAGCUCUAGCUGACACGGUGUCGGUGGUCUUCGAAAGAUGAUGCAAUCGUUUCUCCAUAGGAUGAUACGAUGUAUGGCCUCUCCCAGUGUGUGCCCCUCGUCACCUUCGGGAAUGUCAAGCGCUAGCCCCGAAUAUUGGUCCACCACCUCAUCAACCACGACACGAGCAUAGCCGGCUGGAAUCGUUCUGCAAUGGUAGGUUGCUCCGGGGGGAUUUGUAUAAGCAACGGCGUCUGCCACCUUCACGGAACCCACGCUACUUCUCAGAAUGGAUGGGACGGUGCUAUCCAAUGCUGGAUCAUCCGCUAGCUGCUACCGCUGCUGCUGAGACCCCCUUUCCUGGCUAAGUGAGUCGAUCUGGUACUGCUACUGCCACUGCAAUCUGAGUGACAAGUCCGCGUGCGCUGAUUCUAGGCCUUGAAGGCGUUCUGCUUCCUGCUUCCUCUGCUCGUCCUCCAGCUUCUUCUUCUUAUCCUCCUCCAUCUUCCUUCUCACAUGGCUUCUGUAGUCGGUGUUCCAGUCAGAAAAUCCCUCAUACCACGGAACAACGCCCUUGCCUCGUGUUCUUCCCGGGUGUUCAGGAUUUCCCAGGGCGCACGUAAGGUCGUCGUUCUCUCUGUUGGGCGUGAACACCCCCUUUCGAGCUUCUUCUAUUGCUUCAACUAACUUAACAUCGGCUCCUUUAAGACACGCCUUCUUCAAAACCUAGCCUAUCUUCGGGUCCAACACCCCCCCAUGCGCAUAGAACCAAGUUCUGCACCUGGGGGGCCAGCUCAAUGUAACUGGAGUGACCUGUGCAGCCAGCAUCUCUUGCUCAGACUUAUCCCACUUAGGCAUUGCCACUGCGUAGCCACCUGGCCCCAUCCUAUGGAAUUUGUUCUUUUUUUCCGGCAUUGGCCUUGUUUUUUCUGGACCAUUCCUUAGAUAAUUCUGAUUCCUUGAAUUUCACUAAAGCGGGCCAGUGUUCUCUUUGGUUCUCCAAUGUUCCCUUGAAUUCUGGAGUCUUCUUUCCUCCUUUGACGUAGUUAUUCCAUACAGUUUUCUUGUGGUUGUUAAAUGCAAUUGCCAUCUUCCUAAGAGCAGCGUCCUUGACUUUCUCCACAUCUGCAGCUGUGAAAUGAUCUGGUAGGGUGAAAUGUUCCAUGAGAUUUUCCCAAAGCAUAGUUUUUGCUCUGUCAUCGACAAAAGUAAGAUCUGGACGGGGCUUUGAUGGCUUUUUCCAUUCUUGAAGGGAGAUCAGGAGUUUGUCCUUCACAAGAACUCCGCACUGAUGAGCCAACUUGUUCACGAUGUUCUUAGGCGCUAUUGGUUCGUCAUUAGUUUUGAUGGCAUCGAUGUUAAACUUUACGCCCUCCUUCAACUUUUUGCCCGGGCCUUGCACUCUGCCUGUAGAAGAUUUGAUCAAUUCGUUAAUAUAUCUUAAAAUCAUUUAAAACAUGUGAGAUCACCAGAUGCCUUCUUAUAUAAAUAUACCUCGCCGAUUUCUGUUAUUUCAAGAUCAACAGUUUCUUCACCAAUUUCAAGAUCAACAUUUUCUUCGCCAUCAUAAUCAUAGUCGUCGUCCAUGACUUCAUCAAUUCGGUCGUCGUGAUCGAAUAUCAUAUCAUCACCCUCCCCGGUAUUGUUCAGAUAUUGGGAGCCAUCAUCUUCUUCAUUUCGAUCAUCUCGCGCACGAGGGAAGCAUAUGAUCUCGAACAGGGCCUCUUCUCCCUCUCUGCCGGUAUUGUCCACCAUAGCUUUUAUUUAACUAAUCCAGAAGAAAUAUAAAACAAUUUAGUAUUCAAAUUACAAUGCAUGCAUGUAGUCACAAUAAAGAAAUCCUGAAUCAUAGUACAUGACAUGCAUCGUCUCGAAUAAUAUAUAAUCUCGAAUACAUUGUCUCGUAUAUUAUAUAUCGAAUACAUCACUAGCUAACUAGCUAAUAAAGAUUGAAUACUACAUAAUAAUCUAGGCCACUGGCGGUUCCUGAGGCGCGGGCGGUGGACACCCAAAGAGAAGGAAGCAUCACAGGAUCAUAGCUCCGGUCAUCUUCCCAAAGACCUUGCCAGGAAUUGGAGAACCUGACGUCCAUAGCAGCCAUGUAACGACGGACGUGCUCGUCCUCCUCCCUGACACGGCGACGCACCACCUCCGGCGGGGUCGGCUCCCUCCGCACCGAAAGUGGCCCACGGGAACGCCACCAAAGGAGCUCAGGGUCGACGACGGGACCCGGGUUCCUCAUCAAGCGGCGAGCCCCCGAAGGUAGCACCUACCUGUGCCAGCCCGGCGGAGCCCAGUCCCGGACAUGGUUCCUCUGAAGCAAGACGUCGUCGCGAACGGGUUGAUGGCGAGGAUGCGGGCCGGGCAUCGUCGAGAACAAAUACUAUACAUCACAAAAGUAACAAUUUUUAAAUGAUUGGAUUGUGAUUUCUUAUAUGCAAAUUCUAAAUUUCUAUAACUAAAAUUAUAAGAAACUAAAAACUAACAUUUCUAUAACAUGUCUAACAUAUCUAUAACAAUUUGAAAUUAAUCUAAUUCAUCUAGCUAAAACUAACAUUUCUAAAAUUUGUAACAUUUCUAUAACAUUUCUAACAUUUCUAUAUACUAUUUGACAUUAAUCUAAUUAAUUAAUUAAUUCAUAUAAAACAUUUGUAUAAAAAACAGAAAACUAAAAACUAAAAACAGAACCGUGUGUGUGUGUGUGCGUGCGCGUGCGCGUGUGCUCCUACAGCGCUGGCGGCGCGGCGGCUUCAAUUGGAGGGAGGAGAGGGGCUGGGGAGGGGGCUCACAGCGCGGGCGAGGUGACGACGACGGCGACGGUGACAGCGAGGCGAGGGGACGACGAGGCAGAGGGGACGGCAACGGACGGUGACGGGGACGGCGACGGUGGAGGGGGGCGACGAGGGACAGCGGGGACAGUGACGGACAGCAACGGGGACGGUGACGGGGGGCAGAGGAGAAGAAGCAGAGGAAGAACGAAAGGGAAGAAAAAUUCGUAAGUGCCGCUUAUAUAGGAGGCACCUUUAGUACUGGUUGGAGCCACCAACCGUUACUAAAAGGCUGUUUUGGCCAGGCAAAGCGGCGGGAAGCGCACCCCCUUUAGUACUGGGUGGUGGCUCCAACCGGUACUAAAGGGGGUCUUUAGUACCGGUUUGAGCCACCACCGGGUACUAAAGAGGGUGCACUGGCGUAGGUGCGGUGCGGGCAAGUUUAGUCCCACCUUGCUAGCCGAGAGGGCGCACGCACCUGUUUAAAAGCCCCGGCGCGGCUGCUCUCUCGAACUCCUCUCUACAGCAGGCUUCUAAGCCUAACUCUGCCGCUCUGCCCUGUGGGCCUACUGGGCCUUGCGGGCUUGCAUCCUGGCCCAACUAUAGGUUGGGUUACUAGUCGUAUACAGGCCGAUGUGGCCCAGUAGGUUGGCUUUUUUUAUUUAGUUUUGUCUCAAAAAAAUUAGUUUUCUUUUCUUUUCUACUUUAUUUCUUUUCAUUUAUUUAUUUCUGAAUAUUUUUUCUUUAGGUACAAAAAAUUAUAAACUUUCUGUCAGUGUCAGUAGUUUUCAAAUUUGAAUAGUUUAAAUUUGAAUUAUUUGACGAACUAAUUGUAGACGAAGUGCAUAGUUUUUGCACAUAAAAUUUCUUCGCGUUUUAAAUGCCAAAACACAUAAGUACCCUAACUAUUACAAAGAUUCCCUCUGGUUUGUUUGAAGCGGCACUUUCAAGAUAUAUAAGUAUGGAAAGUCACUACACAAGAAAGUGAUGAUGGUGAAGCCUAUCACAUACCAGAGUGGGAUCUUUGGGUGUGAAACUUUUUUUUCACGUGUGUCCCUUUGCGCCGUAACCAUGGACAAUCUUCAUCAUUUAACUGGAUGCUCGGAUCAAUAUUCACUGUGAAUGGAGCAAUUUCAUCGAACUUUUCAUAAUCUUCUGACAUGUCUAUCUUGUCAUCCACUCCCACGAUGUUUCUUUUCCCUGAAAGAACUAUGUGGCGCUUUGGCUCAUCGUAUGAUGCAUUCGCUUUCAUAUCUUUUCUUUUUCUCAGCCUGGUAGACAUGUCUUUCACAUAGAAAACCUGCACCACAUCAUUGGCUAGGACAAAUGGUUAGUUUGCAUACGCAAGAUUGUCGAGAUCCACUGUUGUCAUUCCGUCCGUUACCCCGCCUCAUGUCAUAUUGACCCAUUUGCACCGAAACAAAGGGACCUUCAAACCACCUCCAUAGUUAAGUUCCCAUAUGUCCUCUAUGUAACCAUAAUAUGUUUCCUUUCCCGUGUUGGUUGUUGCAUCAAAGCGGACACCAUUGUUUUGGUUGGUGCUCUUCUUAUCUUGGGCGAUCGUGUAAAAUGUAUUCCCAUUUAUCUCAUACCCUUUGAAAGUCAUUAUAUUCGAAGAUGGUGACUGGGACAGCAAGUACAGGUCAUCUUCAAUAUCGCCAUCAUGCAUGGUACGUGUGUGCAACCAACCGGCAAAACUCCCCGUUCGUUCACGUGUAAUCUACUCGUCGGACUGCUCCGGGUGUUUGGAGUGUAGAAAAUUCUUGUGUUCCUCCAUAUACAGAGCCACCAAGACGGAAUUCUGUAGAGCUGUGUAGUGUGCUUCAGUGAGAGAAUGCCCGUCCAUACAUAUUAUUUGAUCCCCUCCUAGCGUGCUUUUUCCAUCUAGUCUGCCCUUAUGCUGCGAUUCAGGAACACCAAUCAGCUUAAGGUAAGGAAUAAAGUCAAUACAAAACUCAAUGACCUCCUCAUUUCCAUGGCCCUUCAAGAUGCUUCCUUCUGGCCUAGCACGGUUAUGAACAUAUUUCUUCAAGACUCCUAUGAACCUCUCAAAGGGGAUCAUAUUGUGUAGAAAUACAGGACCCAAAAUAUUAAUCUCUUCGCAUAGGUGAACUAGGAUGUGUGUCAUGAUGUUGAAGAAGGAUGGUGGGAACACCAACUCGAAACUGACAAGACAUUGCACCAAAUCAUUCUGUAUCCUUGGUAUGAUUUCUGGAUCGAUUACCUUCUGAGAGAUUGCAUUUAGGAAUGCACAUAGCUUCACAAUGGCUAAUUGAAUGUUUUCCGGUAGAAGCCCCCUCAAUGCAACCGGAAGCAGUUGCGUCAUAAUCAUGUGGCAGUCAUGAGACUUUAGGUUCUGGAACUUUCUCUGCCAUAUUUAUUAUUCCCUUUAUAUUCGACGAGAAGCCAGACGGUAUCUUCAUACUGAGUAGGCAUUCAAAGAAGAUUUCCUUCUCUUCUUUGGUAAGAGCAUAGCUGGCAUGACCCUGAUGUAUGCCGUCUUUUCCGUGCAUACGUUGCUGGUCCUCCCAUGCCUCCGAUGUAUCUUUUGUCUUCCCAUACACGCUCAGGAAGCCAAGCAGGGUCACGCAAAGAUUCUUCGUCACGUGCAUCACGUUGAUUGCGGAGCGGACCUCUAGGUAUUUCCAAUAGGGCAGGUCCCAAAAUAUAGAUUUCUUCUUCCACAAGGGUGCGCGUCCGUAAGCGUCCUUCGGAACAAGUUGUCCGCCAGGACCCUUUCCAAAGAUUACCUUCAAAUCCUUGGCCAUAUCAUGCACAUCAGCACCAAUAGUGGCGAGGCUUCGUCCGGUGAUCCGCCUCACCUUUGAAAUGCUUGCCUUUCUUUCUUACGGUAUGCCUUCUCGGAAGAAAUCGAUGAUGUCCCAGGUACACAUUAUCCCUACAACUGUCCAAAUAUAUACUGUCGAUAUCAUCCAAACAAUGCGUGCAUCCGCAGUAUCCCUUGUUUGUCUGUCCUGAAAGGUUACUGAGAGCAGGCCAAUCAUUGAUGGUCACGAACAACAACGCCUUUAGGUCAAAUUCUUCCUGUUUGUGCUCAUCUAACACACGUACACUUUUUCCAUUCCACAACUGUAAUAGUUCUUCAACUAAUAGCCUUAGGUACACAUCAAUGUCGUUGCUGGGUUGCUUAGGGCCUUGGAUGAGCACUGACAUCAUAAUGAACUUCCGCUUCAUGCACAACCAAGGAGGAAGGUUAUACAAACAUAGAGUCACAGGCCACGUGCUAUGGUUGCUGCUCUGCUCCCCAAAAGGAUUAAUGCCAUCCUCACUUAGACCAAACCAUACGUUCCUUGGGUCACCUGCAAACUCCUCCUUGUACUUUCUCUCGAUUUUUCUCCACUGCGACCCGUCAGUGGGUACUCUCAACUUUCCGUCUUUCUUACGGUCUUAUUCGUGCCACCGCAUCGCCUUGGCAUGCUCUUUGUUUUGGAACAAACAUUUCAACCAUGGUAUUAUAGGAUCAUACCACAUCACCUUGGCAGGAAUCUUCUUCCUGGAGAGCUCAUCCUCGACAUCACCAGGUUCAUCGCGCCUGAUCUUAUAGCAUAAUGCACCGCAUACCAGGCACGCGUUCAAAUCCUCGUACUCACCGCGUAGGGGAUGCAAGUCAUUAGGGCAUGCAUGUAUCUUCUACACCUCUAACCAUAGAGGGCAGACAAACUUCUUUGCUUCGUACGUACUCUCAGGAAAUUUGUUGUCCUUUGGAAGCAUAUUCUUUAUCAUUACCAGCAACUUUCCAAACCCCUUGUCAGAUACACCAUCCUCUGCCUUCCAUUGCAGCAAUUCCAGUGUGGUGAAGGAAAUAUGCCCUAGAGGCAAUAAUAAAGUUAUUAUUUAUUUCCUUAUUUCAUGAUAAAUGUUUAUUAUUCAUGCUAGAAUUGUAUUAACCGGAAACAUGAUACAUGUGGGAAUACAUAGACAAACUGAGUGUCACUAGUAUGCCUCUACUUGACUAGCUCAUUAAUCAAAGAUGGUUAUGUUUCCUAGCCAUGGACAAAGAGUUGUCAUUUGAUUAACAGGAUCACAUCAUUAGGAGAAUGAUGUGAUUGACUUGACCCAUUCCGUUAGCAUAGCACCCGGUCGUUUAGUAUAUUGCUAUUGCUUUCUUCAUGACUUAUACAUGUUCCUAUGACUAUGAGAUUAUGCAACUCCCGUUUACCGGAGGAACACUUUGUGUUCUACCAAACGUCACAAUGUAACUGGGUGAUUAUAAAGGUGCUCUACAGGUGUCUCCAAAGGUACUUGUUGGGUUGGCGUAUUUCGAGAUUAGGAUUUGUCACUCUGAUUGUUGGAGAGGUAUCUCUGGGCCCUCUCGGUAAUGCACAUCACUUAAGCCUUGCAAGCAUUGUAACUAAUGAGUUAGUUGCGAGAUGAUGUAUUACGGAACGAGUAAAGAGACUUGCCGGUAACGAGAUUGAACUAGGUAUUGAGAUACUGACGGUCGAAACUCGGGCAAGUAACAUACCAAUGACAAAGGGAACAACAUAUGUUGUUAUGCGGUCUGACCGAUAAAGAUCUUCGUAGAAUAUGUGGGAACCAAUAUGGGCAUCCAGGUUCCGCUAUUGGUUAUUGACCGGAGACGUGUCUCGGUCAUGUCUAGAUAGUUCUCGAACCCGUAGGGUCCGCAUGCUUAACGUUACGAUGACAGUUAUAUUAUGAGUUUAUAUGUUUUGAUGUACCAAAGGUUUUCCGGAGUCCCAGAUGUGAUCACGGACAUGACGAGGAGUCUCAAAAUGGUCGAGACAUGAAGAUUGAUAUAUUGGAAGCCUAUGUUUGGAUAUCGGAAGUGUUCCGGGUGAAAUCGGGAUUUUACUGGAGUNNNNNNNNNNNNNNNNNNNNNNNNNNNNNNNNNNNNNNNNNNNNNNNNNNNNNNNNNNNNNNNNNNNNNNNNNNNNNNNNNNNNNNNNNNNNNNNNNNNNNNNNNNNNNNNNNNNNNNNNNNNNNNNNNNNNNNNNNNNNNNNNNNNNNNNNNNNNNNNNNNNNNNNNNNNNNNNNNNNNNNNNNNNNNNNNNNNNNNNNNNNNNNNNNNNNNNNNNNNNNNNNNNNNNNNNNNNNNNNNNNNNNNNNNNNNNNNNNNNNNNNNNNNNNNNNNNNNNNNNNNNNNNNNNNNNNNNNNNNNNNNNNNNNNNNNNNNNNNNNNNNNNNNNNNNNNNNNNNNNNNNNNNNNNNNNNNNNNNNNNNNNNNNNNNNNNNNNNNNNNNNNNNNNNNNNNNNNNNNNNNCCCCCCUCCCAAGUCCUAAUCCAACUAGGAAAGGGGGGAGUCCUACUCCCGGUGGGAGUAGGACUCCUCCCGGCGCGCCUCUCCCCUUGGUCGGCCGUACCCCCCUUGCUCCUUUAUAUAUGGGGGCAGGGGGCACCCCAGAGACACAACAAUUGAUCAUUUGAUCUUUUAGCCGUGUGCGGUGCCCCCCUCCACCAUAAUCCACCUUGAUAAUACUGUAGCGGUGCUUAGGCGAAGCCCUGCGUUGGUAGAACAUCAUCAUCGUCACCACUUUGUCGUGCUUACAAAACUCUCCCUUAACACUCGGCUGGAUCGGAGUUCGAGGGACGUCAUCGGGCUAAACUUGUGCUGAACUCGGAGGUGCCGUACGUUCGGUACUUGAUCGGUCGGAUCGUGAAGACAUACAACUACAUCAACCGUGUUGUGCUAACGCUUCCGCUUACGGUCUACAAGGGUAUGUAGACAACACUUUCCCCUCUCGUUGCUAUGCAUCACUAUGAUCUUGCGUGUGCAUAGGAAAUUUUUGAAAUUACUAUGUUCCCCAAUAGUGGUAUCAGAGCCAGGUUUUAUGCGUAGAUGUCAUAUGCACGAGUAGAACAUAAGUGAGUUGUGGGCGAUAUAAGUCAUACUGCUUACCAGCAUGUCAUACUUUGGGUCAGCGGUAUUGUGAGAUGAAGCGGCCCGGACCAACAUUACGUGUAUGCUUACGCGAGACUAGUUUCACCGCCACGUGCACGAGUUGCUUAAAGGUGACUGGUGGGUGUCUGUCUCUCUCACUUUAGUUGAACCGAGUAUGGCUACGCCCGGUCCUUGCGAAGGUUAAAACAGCACCAACUUGACAAACUAUCAUUGUGGUUUUGAUGCGUAGGUAAGAACGGUUCUUGCUCAGCCCGUAGCAGCCACGUAAAAUUUGCAACAAUAAAGUAGAGGACGUCUAACUUGUUUUUGCAGGGCAUGCUGUGAUGUGAUAUGGUCAAGACAUGAUGCUAAAUUUUAUUGUAUGAGAUGAUCAUGUUUUAUAACCAAGUUAUCGGCAACUGGCAGGAGCCAUAUGGUUGUCGCUUUAUUGUAUGCAAUGCAAUCGCCCUGUAAUGCUUUACUUUAUCACUAAGCGGUAGCUAUAAUAGUAGAAUCAUAAGAUUGGUGAGACGACAAUGAUGCUACGAUGGAGAUCAAGGUGUCGCACCGGUGACGAUGGUGAUCAUGAUGGUUCUUCGAAGAUGGAGAUCACCAGCACAAGAUGAUGAUGGCCAUAUCAUAUCACUUAUAUAUUGAUUGCAUGUGAUGUUUAUAUUUUUGCAUCUUAUCUUGCUUUGAUUGACGGUAGCAUUAUAAGAUGAUCUCUCACUAAAUUUCAAGACAAAAGUGUUCUCCCUGAAUAUGCACCGUUGCCAAAGUUCGCCAUGCCCAGACACCACGUGAUGAUCGGGUGUAAUAAUCUCUACGUCCAUCUACAACGGGUGCAAGCCAGUUUGUCACAUGCAGAAUACUCAGGUUAAACUGACGAGCCUAGCAUAUGUAGAUAUGGCCUCGGAACACUGAGACCGAAAGGUCGAGCAUGAAUCAUAUAGUAGAUAUGAUCAACAUAAUGAUGUUCACCAUUGAAAACUACUCCAUUUCACGUGAUGAUCGGUUAUGGUUUAGUUGAUUUGGAUCACGUGAUCACUUAGAUGACUAGAGGGAUGUCUAUCUAAGUGGGAGUUCUUAAGUUAUAUGAUUAAUUGAACUUAAAUUUAUCAUGAACUUAGUCCUGGUAGUAUUUUGCAAAUUAUGUUGUAGAUCAAUAGCUCGCGUUGUUAUUUUCAUAUGUUAAUUUUGAUAUGUUCCUAGAGAAAACUGUGUUGAAAGAUGUUAGUAGCAAUGAUGCGGAUUUGAUCCAUGAUCUGAGGAUUGUCCUCAUUGCUUCUCAGAAGAAUUAUGUCCUUGAUGCACCGCCAGGUGACGGACCUAUUGCAGGAGCAGAUGCAGACGUUACGAACAUUUGGCGAGCUCAAUAUGAUGACUACUUGAUAGUUUAGUGCACCAUGCUUAACGGCUUAGAAUCGGGACUUCAAAGACGUUUUGAACGUCAUGAACCAUAUGAGAUGUUCUAGGAGUUUAAGUUAAUAUUUCAAGCAAAUACCCGAGUUGAGAGAUAUGAAGUCUCCAACAAGUUCUAUAGCUAAAAGAUGGAGGAGAAUUGCUCAACUAGUGAGCAAGUGCUUAGAUUGUUUAAGUACUACAAUCACUUGAAUCAAGUGGAAGUUAAUCUUCCAGAUAAGAUAGUGAUUGGCAGAGUUCUCUAGUCACCAUCACCAAGUUACUGAAACUUCGUGAUGAACUAUAAUGCAAGGGAUGACGAAAAUGAUUCCCGAGCUCUUCGUGAUGCUGAAAUCGACGAAGGUAGAAAUCAAGAAAAGAGCAUCAAGUGUUGAUGAUUGAUAAGACCACUAGUUUCAAGAAAAGGGCAAAGGAAAAGAAAGGGAACUUCAAGUAGAAUGGCAAGCAAGUUGUCACUCCCGUGAAGAAGCCCAAAGCUGGACCAAAGCCUGAAACUGAGUGCUUCUACUGCAAAAGAAAUGGUCACUGGAAGCGGAAACACUCUGAAUAUUUGGUGGAUAAGUAGGAUGGCAAAGUGAACAAGGGUAUAUUUGAUAUACAUGUUAUUGAUGUGUACCUUACUAGUGUUUAUACUAGCCCCUGGGUAUUUGAUACUUGUUCGGUUGCUAAAAAUGAGUAACUCGAAACAGGAGUUACAGAAUAAACAGAGACUAGUUGAGGGUGAAGUGACGAUGUAUGUUGGAAGUGGUUCCAAGAUUGAUAUGAUCAUCAUCGCACACUCCCUAUACUUUCGGGAUUAGUGUUAAACCUAAAUAAAUGUUAUUUGGCGUUUGCAUUGAGCAUGAAUAUGAUUUGAUCAUGUUUAUUGCAAUACGGUUAUUCAUUUAAAGUCAGAGAAUAAUUGUUAUUCUAUUUACAUGAAUAAAGCCUUCGAUGGUCAUACACCCAAUGAAAACAGUUUCUUGGAUCUCGAUCAUAGUGAUACACAUAAUCAUAAUAUUGAUGCCAAAAGAUGCAAAGUUUAUAAUGAUAGUGCAACUUAUUUGUGGCACUGUCGUUUGGGUCAUAUCGGUGUAAAGCGCAUGAAGAAACUUUGUGCUGAUGGGUUUUUGGAAUCACUUGAUUAUGAAUCAUUUGAUGCUUGCGAACCGUGCCUCAUGGGCAAGAUGACUAAAACGCCGUUCUCCGGAACUAUGGAGAGAGCAACAGAUUUGUUGGAAAUCAUACAUACAGAUGUAUGUGGUCCGAUGAAUGUUGAGGCUCGUGGCGGAUAUCGUUAUUUUCUCACCUUCACAGAUGAUUUAAGCAGAUAUGGGUAUAUCUACUAAAUGAAACAUAAGUUUGAAACAUUUGAAAAGUUCAAAGAAUUUCAGAGUGAAGUUGAAAAUCAUCGUAACAAGAAAAUAAAGUUUCUACGAUCUGAUCGUGGAGAAGAAUAUUUGAGUUACGAGUUUGGCCUUCAUAUAAAACAAUGUGGAAUAGUUUCACAGCUCACGCCACAUGGAACACCACAACGUUAUGCUGUGUCCGAAGGUCGUAACCGCACUUUAUUGGAUAUGGUGCAAUCUAUGAUGUCUUAUCGAUUUACCACUAUCGUUAUGGGGUUACACAUUAGAGACAUCUGCAUUCACUUUAAAUAGGGCACCAUCGAAAUCCAUUGAGACGACGGCUUAUGAAGUGUGGUUUGGCAAGAAACCAAAGUUGUCGGUUGUUAAAGUUUGGGGCUACGAUGCUUAUGUGAAAAAGUUCCAGCCUGAUAAGCUCAAACCCAAAUCGGAGAAGUGCGUCUUCAUAGAAUACCCAAAGGAAACUAUUGGGUACACCUUCUAUCACAGAUCCGAAGGCAAAAUCUUUUUUGCUAAGAAUGGAUCCUUUCUAGAGAAGGAGUUUCUCUUGAAAGAAGUGAGUGGGAGGAAAGUAGAACUUGAUGAGGUAACUGUACCUGUCCCCUUAUUGGAAAAUAGUUCAUCACAGAAAUCAGUUCAUGUGAUUCCUACACCAAUUAGUGAGGAAGCUACUGAUGAUGAUCAUGAAGCUUCAGAUCAAGUUACUACCAAACCUCGUAGAUCUUCUAGAGUAAGAUCCGCACCAGAGUGGUACCGUAAUCCUGUUCUGGAAGUCAUGUUACUAGACCAUGAUGAACCUACGAACUAUGAGGAAGCGAUGAUGAGCCCAGAUUCCGUGAAAUGGCUUGAAGCCAUGAAAUCUGAGAUGGGAUCCAUGUAUGAGAACAAAGUGUGGACUUUGGUUGUCUUGCCCGAUGAUCGGCAAGCCAUAAAAAAUAAAUGGAUCUUCAAGAGGAAGACAGACGCUGAUAGUAGUGUUACUAUCUCCAAAGCUCGACUUGUCACAAAAGGUUUUUCCGACAAGUUCAAAGGUGUUGAAUACGAUGAGAUUUUCUCACUCAUAUCGAUGCUUAAGUCUGUCCAAAUCAUGUUAGCAAUUGCCACAUUUUAUGAAAUCUAGCAAAUGGAUGUCAAAACUGCAUUCCUUAAUGGAUUUAUUAAAGAAGAGUUGUAUAUGAUGCAACCAGAAGGUUUUGUCAAUCCUAAAGGUGCUAAAAAAGUGUGCAAGCUCCAGCAAUCCAUCAAUGGACUGUUGAAAGCAUCUCGGAGUUGGAAUAUACGCUUUGAUGAGUUGAUCAAAGCAUAUGGUUUUAUGCAGACUUUUGGAAAGGCCUGUAUUUACAAGAAAGUGAGUGGGAGCACUACAGCCUUUCCGAUAAGUAUAUGUGAAUGCCAUAUUGUUGAUCGGAAAUGAUGUAGAAAUUUUCUGGAAAGCAUAAAGGAGUGUUUGAAAAGAGUUUUUUAAAGAAAGACCUUAGUAAAGCUACUUACAUAUUGAGGAUCAAGAUCUAUUGAAAUAGAUCAUGACGCUUGAUAAGAUUUUCAAUUAGUACAUACCUUGACAAGAUUUUGAAGUAGUUCAAAAUAGAAACAGUCAAAGAAAGAGUUCUUGUCUGUGUUGCAAAGGUAUGAAAUUGAGUAAGACUCAAAUCCCGACCACGGCAGAAAAUAGAAAGAGAAAGAAAGUCAUUCGCUAUGCAUCAGUCAUAGGUUCUAUAAAAGUAUGCCAUGCUAUGGACCAGACCUAUUGUAUACUCUGCCCUGGUUUGGCAAGGGAGUACAAUAGUGAUCUAGGAGUAGAUCACUGGACAUUGGUCAAAAUUAUCCUUAGUGGAAUAAGGAUAUGUUUCUCAAUUAUGGAGGUGAUAAAAGAGUUCGUCGUAAAGAGUUACAUCGAUGCAAGCUUUUACACCAAUCCAGAUGACUCUAAGUCUCAAUCUGGAUACAUAUUGGAAGUGGGAGCAAUUAGCUAGAGUAGCUCCGUGUAGAGCAUUGUAGACAUAGAAUAUUUGCAAAAUACAUACGGCUCUGAAUGUGACAGACCCGUUAACUAAACUUCUCUCAUGAGCAAAACAUGAUCAUACCUUACUACUCUUUGGGUGUUAAUUACAUAGCAAUUUAAACUAGAUUAUUGACUCUAGUAAACCCUUUGGGUGUUGGUCACAUGACGAUGUGAAUUAUGGGUGUUAAUCACAUACAGAUGUGAAUAUUGGUGUUGAAUCACAUGAUGAUGUGAACUAGAUUAUUGACUCUAGUGCAAGUGGGAGAUUGAAGCAAAUAUGCCCUAGAGGCAAUAAUAAAGUUAUUAUUUAUUUCCUUAUUUCAUGAUAAAUGUUUAUUAUUCAUGCUAGAAUUGUAUUAACCGGAAACAUGAUACAUGUGUGAAUAUAUAGACAAACUGAGUGUCACUAGUAUGCCUCUACUUGACUAGCUCAUUAAUCAAAGAUGGUUAUGUUUCUUAGCCAUGGACAAAGAGUUGUCAUUUGAUUAACGGGAUCACAUCAUUAGGAGAAUGAUGUGAUUGACUUGACCCAUUCCGUUAGCAUAGCACCCGAUCGUUUAGUAUAUUGCUAUUGCUUUCUUCAUGACUUAUACAUGUUCCUAUGACUAUGAAAUUAUGCAACUCCCGUUUAUCGGAGGAACACUUUGUGUGCUACCAAACGUCACAACGUAAUUGGGUGAUUAUAAAGGUGCUCUACAGGUGUCUCCAAAGGUACUUGUUGGGUUGGCGUAUUUCGAGAUUAGGAUUUGUCACUCUGAUUGUCGGAGAGGUAUCUCUGGGCCCUCUCGGUAAUGCACAUCACUUAAGCCAUGUAAACAUUGUACCUAAUGAUUUAGUUGCGAGAUGAUGUAUUACGGAACGAGUAAAGAGACUUGCCGGUAACGAGAUUGAACUAGGUAUUGAGAUACCGACGAUCGAAUCUCGGGCAAGUAACAUACCGAUGACAAAGGGAACAACAUAUGUUGUUAUGCGGUCUGACCGAUAAAGAUCUUCGUAGAAUAUGUGGGAACCAAUAUGAGCAUCCAGGUUCCGCUAUUGGUUAUUGACCGGAGACGUGUCUCGGUCAUGUCUACAUGGUUCUCGAACCUGUAGGGUCCGCAUGCUUAACGUUACGAUGACAGUUAUAUUAUGAGUUUAUAUGUUUUGAUGUACCGAAGGUUGUUCGUAGUCCUGGAUGUGAUCACGGACAUGAUGAGGAGUCUCAAAAUGGUCGAUACAUGAAGAUUGAUAUAUUGGAAGCCUAUGUUUAGAUAUCAGAAGUGUUCCGGGUGAAAUCGGGAUUUUACCGGAGUAUCGGGAGGUUACUGGAACCCCCCGGGAGGUUAAUGGGCCUUAGUGGGCCUUUAUGGAGAAGAGGAGAGGCGGCCAGGGCUGGGCGCCGCGCCCCUCCCCCUAGUCCGAAUAGGACAAGGAGAGGGGGGCGGCGCCCCCCUUCCUUCCUCUCUCCCUCCUCUUUCCCCCCUCCCAAGUCCUAAUCCAACUAGGAAAGGGGGGAGUCCUACUCCCGGUGGGAGUAGGACUCCUCCCGGCGCGCCUCUCCCCUUGGUCGGCCGCACCCCCCUUGCUCCUUUAUAUACGGGGGCAGGGGGCACCCCAGAGACACAACAAUUGAUCGUUUGAUCUUUUAGCCGUGUGCGGUGCCCCCCUCCACCAUAGUCCACCUCGAUAAUACUGUAGUGGUGCUUAGGCGAAGCCCUGCGUCAGUAGAACAUCAUCAUCGUCACCACGCCGUCGUGCUGACGAAACUCUCCCUCAACACUCGGCUGGAUCGUAGUUCGAGGGACGUCAUUGGGCUGAACGUGUGCUGAACUCGGAGGUGUCGUACGUUCGGUACUUGAUCGGUCGGAUCGUGAAGACGUACGACUACAUCAACCGUGUUGUGCUAACGCUUUCGCUUACGGUCUACAAGGGUAUGUAGACAAUACUCUCCCCUCUCGUUGCUAUGCAUCACCAUGAUCUUGCAUGUGCGUAGGAAAAUUUUGAAAUUACUACGUUCCCCAACAUGUGGUGCCCAACUUUUUCUUGUCACCUUCUCAAUUCAGGUACAACAAUUUCUUGUGAUCCUCUAACAUGCGCUGCAACUUCUUCUUCUCCUUUUCACUUGCGCAGUUUCUCUUUGCAUUGGCAAUGGCCCGACCUAGAUCAUCAGUGGGCUCAUCUGAUGCCUCUUCUUCGGCUUCUUCCUGCAUUGCUGGCUCAGCUUCUUCCCCCAUUGUUGUAUCAUUGUGUUCAGGGAACCCAUGGCCAGGAUAGCUAUCGUCGUCCUCUUCUUCUUUAUUGUCUUCCAUCAUAACCCCUCUUUCUCCGUGCUUUGUCCAAACAUUAUAGUGGGGCAUGACACCGAACUCAAACAGGUGGACGUGAAUGGUUUCUUGAGUUAGAGUAAUUUUGAUCAUUUUUACAGCCAGCACAUGGACAAGGCAUAAAACCAUCCGCCCGCUUGUUUGCCUGAGCCGCAAUCAGAAAAGUAUGCAUGCCAUCAACGAACUGGGAGAGCAUCGGUCAUCGUACAUCCAUUGCCAGCGCAUCUUCAUUACACACCACCGAAUAUACCAAAUUAAUACAAGUUCAUACAUAAACUCCAUACAACACUUAAAUGCAACAUACAAAUAACUCUCUAGCUAAAGCAUUUAAAUGCAACAACAAAUGCGGUCAAGAUCGCAACUAAGGUAACAAUUGAUCCAACAACAUAAUGAUACCAAGCCUCACUAUCAAUGGCAUAUUUUCUAAUCUUUCUAAUUUUUAACCGCAUUUUCUCCAUCUUGAUCUUGUGAUCAUCGACGACAUCGGCAACAUGCAACUCCAAUUCCAACUUCUCCCCCUCAAUUAUUUUCAAUUUUUCUUUCAAAUACUCAUUUUCUCUUUCAACUAAAUUUAACCUCUCGACAAUAGGUUCGGUUGGAAUUUCCGGUUCACAUACCUCCUAGAUAAAAACAUCUAUGUCAACUUGGUGGGCAUAAUUUGUCAUAAACAUGAAAUGCAACAAAUAGUUUUAAAAGAGAAUAUACCAAAUCUGAAUCAUAACACGGACGAGGGCCGACGGGGGCGGAUAUCAAAACCAUGGCACUAUGUAUAACAAACAACGUACGGGUAAGAUAAUUAUACAAGUAACUAUAUAUCUAAAUCACACAAACAUGAUUUUUUUAUACAAAAAAGAUAAGAACAAGAGGCUCACCACAAGGUGGUGCCGGCGACGGGUCGGUGCGGACGAUCGACGGUGGUUACGACGGAGACGGGAAGGCGCUAAGUAAACCACACUUACAUAUGCAAACUAAGUGUUAUUUUAAGUUAAAAUUGCAUAUAAAUCAAAUAAACUACCACAUAUAACUCCUCCCAAAUUACUAAAACCCACAAAUUAAUCACUAUAUAAAGCAUUGCAAGAGCUAAUCUAGCAAUGAGAGAUGAAAGGACAAAGUUGCUCACCUUGUUAAUCACUUGAAUGGAUGGGGGCCUUCAAAUCUUGACAAAAUUUGGGCAAAAUGUGUGAUGAGCUCGAGGGGAAGAGAGGAAGAACAGAGAGGAGAGGGGAAAGGGGGAAGAACAGAGCGAGCUGGACGAAGGGUUUAUAUGUAGGAAGACCUGUAGUACCGGUUCAUGGCACGAACCGGUACUAAAGGUGCUGGACGGGCCCGAGUCAACAUCCUGCCACCAUGCUCUUUAGUAUCGAUUCAUGGCACGAACCGGUGCUAAAGGGUCGCCACGAACCAGUACUAGUGAGAGCGGCCCGCCUAGCCAUUGGAACCGGCCCUAAUGGUCACAUUAGUGCCAGCUCAAUUUCAAACCGGGAGUAAUGAGCUGCACAUUAGACCCUUUUCUACUAGUGGGGGUUCGAUCCCGAGCUUCCACAUCUUUUAUCUUUCUUUUCUCACGCAUGUCCUACCCAUGUGCGGGCUUCACUCCCCUCUUUUUCAUUUUACAUUUUUGUCUUUUUUUUUCUCAUUAUUUUUUCUUUCUUCUUUCUUGUUUAAAUUAAUUCGGGUUUUUGAUAUUCUAAUGGUGCGACUUUUCAAAAAAAAUGUUUGAGAAAUCAUAAAAAGUAUGUGAAUUCAAAAAGUGCUUAGAAAAUCAUAAAAAUUUAAAGAUUCAAAAAAUAUUGGUGGUUUUGCAAAAAUGUUCGCAAAAUUAUAAAAAAAAUCACAAUUUGAAAAAAAAUGGUCGGGAAAUAAAAUCAUGUUCAUGAUUUUGAAAAAAAUGAUUCGGGAAUCUGAAAAACAUGUCCAUGACAUUUUAGAAAAUGUUCACAAAAAAAUAAAAAUAAAUAUUUGUUUUUUAAAAUUUGUUCCCCAAUUUUUUUAAAAAGUUCAUCGACUCAAAAAAUGUUUGUUGAGUCAAAAAAUGUUAAUGAAUUCGAAACCGGUUCAUGCAUUUAAUUUAUUUUGUAAACAAAACUACUGUUCAUGAUUUUUUUGAGAAAAUAAAAAUUUUCAAAACAAAAUGUUUGUCGAUUCGGAAAAAUGUUCACUGAUUCAAAAGUAUUUUAUGUCAAGGAUUUAAUUAGUUUUUCGAAAGUCUUUAUAUGUCUUGGCGUUGGGAGUAGUUCGUGGUCAACGAGAUUUGUUUUUAAAGUUUUAAACAUUCCCGUGUGCAACAUAAUGACAAGUGUGGCAUGCACUAGCAAACUCAUAGCCUUGGAAUUUACCAUGUCGAAUGCAUUAUGAUCACGUGGACAUCGCGACCAUCAUCGGCCAGGGUGAGAAAAAAAUAGCAACAUGGUGAGCCACUGUGUUAAAACAGAGUACGCUCAUAUAUCAGGAUAUUAAGUCAUACUUAUUUGGUCAGCUAUAAUUUUUUGUCUCCCGUUGCAACGCACGGGCAUAUUUGCUAGUGAAUUAUAAUGUGUAAAUGUGUAAAUGUGUAAAUGUGUAAAUGUGUGUNNNNNNNNNNNNNNNNNNNNNNNNNNNNNNNNNNNNNNNNNNNNNNNNNNNNNNNNNNNNNNNNNNNNNNNNNNNNNNNNNNNNNNNNNNNNNNNNNNNNNNNNNNNNNNNNNNNNNNNNNNNNNNNNNNNNNNNNNNNNNNNNNNNNNNNNNNNNNNNNNNNNNNNNNNNNNNNNNNNNNNNNNNNNNNNNNNNNNNNNNNNNNNNNNNNNNNNNNNNNNNNNNNNNNNNNNNNNNNNNNNNNNNNNNNNNNNNNNNNNNNNNNNNNNNNNNNNNNNNNNNNNNNNNNNNNNNNNNNNNNNNNNNNNNNNNNNNNNNUGUGUGUGUGUGUGUGUGUGUGUGUGUGUGUGUGUGUGUGUGUGUGUGUGUUCCUCUAAAUUUGAAUGUGUUUCUCUGUAAGUUAUAUGUUUAAGUAUAAACAAACAGAAAAUUCUAGAUUAUAUAGGGUGUCUAGGAGCAGUAUUCCCUAUUUUGGUUAUGCGUCAAUUCGUCAAGUAAAUAAUUUACAUAAAACACUUUGUGGUAUAUGUUCAACCGUCAAUGGAAGACACGUGUAAAUAAAUGUGAGCCCGGCGUAUUUUUUUCAGAUGAUCAGAUCAAAUAGCCAUAUCAAAUACGGGGCGUGAGAUGGAAGGCAGGCAAAUCUUGUAAUGUUUUUGCACAGAAUCCUCAUAAUUUACAUCAUGAUAGUACAUAUCACGCGCAUGACGACACACCUCACAGCAAGCAUGGUCUGCAAGACAGCUUACUUCCCAGGAACAAAGUUGGUGGCGAAUGCCCAAGCAUUAUUGUUGACAGGGUCGGCGAGAUGGUCAGCGAGGUUCUCAAGUGGACCCUUGCCGGUGACAAUGGCUUGCACAAAGAAACCAAACAUGGAGAACAUGGCGAGACGACCGUUCUUGAUCUCCUUGACCUUGAGCUCCGCAAAUGCCUCAGGGUCAUCGGCAAGGCCGAGCGGAUCGAAGCUGCCGCCUGG
rnacentral:lncRNA from 1 species